UGACUUUAUUGUUUUCCACAGCUCUAUGAACUUGGAAGGAAGAUAUGGUCAACCAAAGGAGAAGAGCAGGAAACAGCCAAGAAGGAAUUCAUAGAGUGCCUCAAGCUUCUGGAAGGAGAGCUUGGAGAGAAGCCUUACUUCGGCGGUGAAAAAAUUGGGUUUGUGGAUGUGGCUCUGGUGACCUUCUCUUGCUGGUUUCAUGCAUAUGAGAGCUUUGGAAACUUCAGCAUAGAGGCGGAGUGUCCCAAGUUGAUAGCUUGGACCAAGAGGUGCAUGGAAAAGGAGAGCGUGUCGUCUUCUCUGGAAGACCCACACAAGGUCCAUGGCUUUGUUAUGGGGAUGAGAAAGAAGCUUGGCAUAGAAUAACUAUUUUGUAGUGUUGCUGUGGUAAUAUUAGAUAUAUGUGAGUGUUUGGCUGUUUGCUUAAGUUUUUGCUUUGAAAUUGUAUGGUUACUAUUUGCAGUUGAAACCCCUUUUGGAGGGUUGGUGGGUUUGCUGGAAAGAAAUGUUUUGAAUUUGUUUUCAUUUGUUUUGGACUGGACUAGAGAGGUGUUCUUUGUAUUCCAUCAUUUCGUGUCAUAAACAAGUAUUAACACAAGUUGGAUAAGGCAUGCCUCUGGCCCUUUAUGGUAACGUACAAAGAUAUCAUGGGCCUACAAAGAUAUCAUGGGCUACAGAAUAGGUUAGGGCCCGCUUUUUAAAUCACUUUUUUUAACUAAUAUGUUUGGCAAAAGAUGUUCUUCAAUAAUUUAAUUCAUCUUCCUUGUCGGUCAUUUUAAGUAACAAGAAAAUGAAAAAGAAAUAAGAGAAAAGUUCAAUCACGUUCCAUAAUGUUUGUUUUUGAAAAUUGCUUUUAUGUUAAACAAACAAAAAUAAUUUUUUAAAAUUUUAUAAAAUUUUAUAAAAUAAGGAUGUUUGACAAGUUAUUUUGAAAUUGGUUUUUCUUUUAAAAAAAAAUAAUUUUUCUAUGUUGAUUUUGUAAAAAUAUUCUAAAUUUAAUUAAUAGAAAUUUAAUUGAGGUCUUAUAAAAAAUGAAAUUAGUUUUAAAUUAUAAAUAAAUUAAAAAUAGUAUAAUAUAUCAGCGUGGACCUAUUUUUUUUACGUGCGUCCUCACUCGACGAUGAGACUCGUUUUUUAUUUAUUUGGUGAAAAAUAUGAUUUUUAGAAAAAGAUUUGAAGUCCUCAUUGAUUUUUGUUUUAUUUUUCAAGGGAAAGACAAAAUAAAAAAUAAAAACCCUAAAUAUGAUUUCUGAAGGAAAAAUAGGUUUGUGAAAAAUCGAGUUUGGGUUUGGGGAUCAAGUUACUUAUUAGGAAGGUAUGGUAAUGAGUUAUAACACCCCUCUAAGCUCGUUUAUGUACGACCUCUACUAAAUGAAUUAAGGAAAUUGUGACAAUUAAUUAAUUAAUUAUAGAUACCAAGAAAAAUAAUCAUGUAAAUGAGUAUGUACAAGUCAAGGUGAAAAUUAAUAUACACAAAAAUAAUGAUGAAAUCUAAUUACAAGAAUACACAAAAUAAAUAACAAAAGAAUUAUGCAAAAAUAAUUUAUUGAACUAAAUAAAAAAUAUUAAAAAAAUAGUUUUCAAGAAAUUUCGAAGGAUUUUAUUAAAAAUGAUUUUUAAUUAAUGAUUUUAAUUUUUUUUAUUUACAAAAAAGAAGUUUCAAUUUAUUUUCAAUUAAUGAUUUGAUUCAAUUUCAUUUGUAUUUAAUUUUUUUUAAAAAAAAAGUUAUUUGCACUUAUUAUAUCAAAAGAAUUUAUUACAAAAUUUCAAUUUGGUAAUAAAAAUGAUUUUUACUUGCUUUUACAAAAAAAAUUACAAUUUUAUUUACGAAAGUAUUUCACUUUGUUUUAAUUUGAGAAAAGUGACUUAUACAAAUUAUUAAAAAGAAUAUAACUUUAUUUGCAAAAGAAUUUUUAAUUAAAAAUUAAUUUUUGGGACAACUUUAUUUACAAAAUAAUGUUUGGACAAUUUUUAUUAAACAAAUAAAUUUUUGGACAAUUAUUAUUAAAAAUAAUUUUUCAAAUUCUAUUAAAAACAAUUUUUUUGGAUUUUUCUAAAAGCAUUUUUUUGAAUUUUUAUUAAUAAAAAAAACUUUCUUUUAUUAAAAAGAAUAUUUUAAAAUUAUUAUUUUAUUAGAAUAUAUUUACUAAAUUAUUCCUCUUAUUUAAAUGACAAUUUUGAUUUGUUAAAUAUUUAAUUCUGUAUAUACUCAAUAAAUAUAUACAAACUAAUAUUUACAAGAACUAAUAGAAAUAAAAUCAAACAGAAGUGAGCAAUAAAACGUGUACCCAAAUAAGGUUACAACAAGCUUAAUGUCUCUCUACAACUUUUUUAUUCUUACUUUCUUCCAUGAAAUUUUGUGCUUCACGUGUUAUAAAUUUGUACUCAGCCAAUAGAAUUGCAGAAUAGGCCCAUGCAAAAACAAAAAUAGUUCAAAUGUAAAUAUCCAAAGGUGUACAAAAUCCUUAACAAAUAUUCAAACUCAAAUUCAAAUUUCAAAUUAGUUCGAUAAAUCUUGUCAAUCAAAAUGGACACAAAUUAACAAAUAUAACCUAACAAAAACAUCUCACAUGCUAUAAACCUUAAUCCAAAAAUUUCAAAUUAAUAACCAAAAUACAACACAAUUAGCCAAGCCCAAAAUAUCACAAAAUAAAAUAAAUUCAAUUAGGCCUAAAUUUAAUAUUUCAUAAUCCAAGCCUAAUUUAAUAUACACCAUAAUUGUCCCACAUCCAAAUUAAAUAGUUCAAAUUGGUGAAGCUCAUAUCAAAUAUUCAAGUCAUCAAUCAAAUUUCACCCACAUUGUGGACCCAAAAUCCAUACCUAUAUUAUGGGUCCAAAAUUCAUAUCAAUUAACAAGCCCACAUUAAUAAUACACAUGACCAAAGAAAAUAAUUUCCCAAGCCCAAUCCAAUAAGCCCAAAUAAAUAACAUUAGAUUCAAGUCAAAAUCAAUUACUAUGCAAACAAAAAUAAAAAAAUAAAGAUAAAAAAAUGAAAAUAAAAUAAAGUAAAAAGGAAAUUUACCCUUUUUUUUUAUAACUAUGGGUGGUAGGAUUGCUAGUCGGCAGUGACUGGCAGGUAAUGGCGGGUGGUGGCGGGCAGUGGUUGUCGGUAGUGGUGGGUGGUGGUUGGCCGGUAGUGGCCGUGGAGUGUGGGGAAGGGAAAAGGAAAGAAAAAGGAAGAGAAAAAAAAAUGAAGGAAGAUGGGGAGCGUGUGACAGUGGGGGUUUGUGGAAAAUGGCAGUGUAGAGAGAAGGACUAUGAGAAGAAGAAAAAAAAAAUGGAAGAGAAAAUGGGGACCAUCGUGUGUGAUAGUUGGGGGGAAGAAAAAAAAAAGAAAAAAGGAAGGGAGGAGAUGGGAGAGUUGACCGUGUUUGGUGUGUGGGUCGUGGAGCGGUUGUUGUGUUGGAAGGGAGCCUGAAGAAGAAAUGAUGGAGGAAAAAAAAGUGAAGAGAGGAACGUAGAGAAAGAUGAUAAAAAAAAAAAAAAAAAAAAAAAAACUUGGAGGGGGUAUGGGGAGUGGCUUAGACAUGUAGGAGAAGGAAAUGGGUAAGGGAAGUAGGUGGAGUGGGUAGAAUGAGGGGAAAGAGGAAGAGAGAAGAGAGAAGAGAGUGAAAAUAAAUAAAAUUAAAUUAAAAAUAAAAAUAUAAUAAUAAUAAUAAUAAUAAUAAUAAAUAAAUAAAUAAAUAAAUAAAAAUAAUAAUAAAAAUAAUAAUAAAAAUAAUUUAUAAAAUAAUAAAAACUAAGAAUUAAAGGGUGUAAGUGGGCUAAACAAUUAAGAUGUAAUCAAAAUUUAAAUCUAAGGAUAAAAUUGAGCUCAAUAUCAAUGUAAAAAUAAAAUUAGGACAAAUUUUGGGGUCUACAAUCGGUUUUCAUAUAUUAUUUCUUAUGGUGAUUAGAUCUAUUUACUAGGUUGUAACUUAAAAAAAAAAAAAAAAAACCUAUUAGUAAAUUCAAUGUUACUUGAUUUGAAGUUUAUUCUUUAAUAAAAAAAUUUAUAAAAAUAUAAGUAUGUAUAGAAAAAAAGUAGACUCAUUAAAACCCAAUUUUUAUCCAUAAAUUUUUAAUAUUAACCACUAUUUAAGUUUUAAGUUAUUUAAAAAAAUUACUAAACUCAUUAAUUAAUUUAAUGUAUUAAGUUUUGUUUAAUUUGGAUUUUAUUUGUCUAGUGAAAUAAAUAAAUAAAAAAUAUAGUUUCAUGUAGAAGAGAAACAAUAGAGUCAUUGUAGAUUAGAACUAGAAGUUAUAAAAAAUAUGUAAAAUAUAUAUAAUUAUAUAGCUGGAGUUUAUAUUAUAAAUUAUAAAGUUAAAAAAAAUAUAAAAAACUACCUUCAAUGUAAUUUCUAAUUUCUUUUAAUUAUAAUGUAUAAUCAAAAGUUAGACAAAACAAAAUUGUACACUCAUAAGUUAAAUAAUGAAUAUUUCAUAGCCUCAAAGGUGUAUACAAUUUUACACAUUUUUGUUAUGAUAAAAAUAAUCCAUAGCCAAAAACUAUGAAAGCGAUCAAUUCGUAAUUUUUAUUUUGUUAAUAUUACAUGAUGUUCAUGCAUUUUUUUAAACCAUAUUUAUAAUAAUCCUAUAGCGAUAAAAUAUAACAAAAUCUUAAAUCGUUAUAGUUUUAUUAUAGAAUAUUAACUGGAUAAAUAUUGUUAGAUAAUUUAAUUAAUUUAUUUUAAUAAAUUAAAAUAUUAUUCUAAUAAAAUUAUUUCAAAUAUUAUUCUAAUUUAAAAAUUACUAGACUGUUAAGUCUUGUUUAAUUUUGAGUUCAUUUAUAUAGUAAAAUAAAAUUGGAAAAUAUGAUUUCAUGUAGAAGAAAAAUAAUAGAGUUGUUAUAGACUAAUUUUCAUCCAUAAAUUUUUAAUAUUAAUUACAUCAUUAUUUGAGUUUUAAGUUAUUUCUAGAAAUUACUAAAUUUAUUAAUGAAUUCAACACAUUAAGUUUGGUAUAAUUUUAAGUUUAUUUGUCCAAUGAAACAAAAUUGGAAACAAUAAAGUCAUUCAAGUUCAAUUUUUGUCCAUAAAUUUAUGGUAUUAAUUGGAUCACUAUUUGCAUUGCAAUUUAUUUUUAAGAAUUACUUAGACUUGUUAAUAAAUUCAACGCAUUAAGUCAUACUUGAUUUGGUGAUUAUUUACUAAGUGAAAAAAAUUGUAAAAAUAUGAUUAUAUGCAAAGAAAAAACUAGCCAAGACAUUUAAAUGAAUUUUGGUGUAUGAUAUUCUAAUGUUAGUGAGUUUCAUGACUUUAUAGUACUAACUAAAUCAAUUUUUGACUUUUAAGUUAUUUUUAAAAAUUAGUAAAUUUUAUGUAUAAAGUAUAAUUUGAUUUAGAAUUUAUUUUAUCAAUGAAAAUUUUCUUAAAUUAAAUGAAAUUCAUUAAAACACAUGUAAUUUAAAAGAAUAUUAUAUUUGAAGAUUUUUAGUAUCGGUAUUAGAUCGUAGAAAGAGGUAAAGAAGAAUGAUAUCAUCUUCAAUCUUAUUUGCUUUUUAUAGUUUUUUUAAAUUCCUCUAUAUUUUUCUUUUGCUUUUAAAAAUUGAUGAAAACAAUUUCUACUUGUUUUCUAAAAUAUGUUUUUUAUUUCACUUUAUUUUUAAAAAUUACAAAUAGAAAACAACUAACAAACAAUUUUAUGAAUUUUUAAAAAUAGUUUUUUUUUUAAUUUUUAAAAACAAAAGUUAUUUUUUAAUGAAAUGGCCAAAUGGGCUAAAAACUUUUCAACAGCAAAUUUUGAGAAUUUGGGUCAAGUGCUAUGUGCUCUUGUACAAUCCUCCACUAUUUUUGGCCUUCAUGUCACCGUUGUCAACUUUUACUGUGAAUAAGUUCACGAGCUUAUCUUACUUUAUAUUCGAGAGCAAGGAACAAGAUCUUGAGAGAUGCUUGGUUUGUUUUUUUUUUUGUAUUAAAGAAAUAAAAGAGUAUUCACUUACUAUUCCAUUUUGUACUAAAAAAAUUUGAUAAGACAUUGAUAGGCAUGUAAAUAUUAUAACAUUUAAAUAAACUAAAAAUAUUUUUGUUAUAUUAUUUUAAUUUUAAUUUUUGAACUUUCAUAUUAACGUUCGUUUUAAUUUUUCAUAUGAUUUAAAAUUGAUCAUGGUUCUAACCUUUUACUAGGCUAAAAUCUUUAACUUUUUUAGAUACAUAAAAUAGAAAAUAAAAUAUAUUUUCAUAUAAAUUGUAUUAACAUUUCUUUAAUUAAUUUUUAUAUUUCUUAAAAUACAUAUAUCUUAAAAUACAUAUAUCUUUUUUAAAAAAUAAGUACAUCAUUUAGAAAAAUAGGUACAUCUAAUAUAAAAACAUGUACAUUUCAUUUCAUCGGGGAUUCUUAUCCUCAUUCAACCUAAUUCGGGUGUGGGAUUUCACUUAUGUAGGUCUCAGAAUGCAUUUGAGGUCUUCUUAUACCCUAUUCAACAUGAUAUAACUUUGUGUACAUGUUUUAAAAAAAUGUAUAAAAGUUUAGAAAAGUAUUUACAUCUAAUUUGAGUUGAAUCAUUCCCUUAUUCGACCUAUUUUGAAUCUAAAUUUUAACUUCUAUAUACCUCAUGAUGCAUUCCCAAACCCUAUUUGGCAUGGUAGAACCCUAGGUACAUAUGUUACAAAAAUAAGUAUACUCUUAAGAAAAAGUACAUCUUUUACAAUAAUAACUAUAUUCUUAAAUAUAUAUAUAUAUAUAUAUAUAUAUAUAUACAUUCGUAAGAAAAAUGCAUAUAUUUGAUUUGAGGUUAACCAUGAUCCAAUUCAACCUAAUUUGGAUAUAAGAUUUGACUUAUAUAUGCCUCAAAAUGUAUUUUAUGCCUUCCAAAACUUCAUGUAGCAUGGUAGAAGUAUAGGUUCUGAAAAGGUGAAUCUCAAUAGUGGAAUACACCUAAAGGGGGGUUGAAUAGGUGUUUUGACCAAUUGAACAAAAUCUCAACUCAAAUUAGUAAACCUUAAAACUUCUUGAAUAUUUUUCUUCUCUUCACAAAGUCUAAAAAACAAAUUAUAAAUCACAUGAAUAUAUGAAUGCAACAACACUCCCCAACAAUAUUCAAAUGAAAUUCACAUGCACAUGAUCUAAUACUCCUAAACCCAAAUCAACUUAAAACUAAAUUAUGAUAAAAACAAGAUCAAUAUACAUCAAAAUAUCAAUGAUUAACAAUCAGAAAUGACUUCAAAGAUAAUUCAUAGCCAUUUCUCUUUAUCAUUCAAUCAAAUACUAGACAAUCAAAAUUAUAAUAAAUUGUAGAAACUAAAAAAUGAUGCGAAGAAGAGAAAACGAGACAAUGAGACACCAUAAAUUUACAUGGAAAAUUUUUGAAGAGAUAAAAAACCAUAAGCCUACUACCAAUCAAAAACAUCCACUAUGAAGAAUAAAAACUAAAUACAAGGUUUUACCUAGCUCAAGCCAACUAAUCCUUCCCGGACCACUUGACUAGUACCUUCACUUUUAGUUUCUCACAUUCUUAUUUUAGAGCACAUUUGGAGUCUACACCAAGCUCGAUCUCGACCUCUUAUUGAUUUCACAUAAGAAAAAAAUGGGUUUUUGUGCAAAACCAAGAGAAUUAGAUAUGAAUGUUUCAAAAAUCAACCCAUGCUCAUUUUCAAAAAAUCCAUUUUAAAAAAAUUUCUUAGAAAACUUGGAUGGAUUUUCUUCGUAGGUAAACACCCUUAAAAUGGUGAGGAAAGAAAAAACUCUCUCACAACUAUUGUAGUCACCACUUAUAGAGAUGGAAGAGAUUUGAUUUUAAAUGAGAAAGAAACCCUUAAUCGAAGGGUUGAAAGUUGAUCUUAAAAAUAGGUUGGUUGGAUCAAUCUGCCUCUACACUUAGAUCAAUCCAAAAACAGGGGAACAAAAGCCUUGUGCUAAUAAUAUUUCUCCUUGUUUUCUUAACUCAUUUAAAGAUGAAAAAACAGGGUUGAUUCAUAUUCAAUCACCACACUCGACUAUAUACCUCAGCCUCUUAGCAAAGUUUUAAUCUUCAAAGGUCAAGUAGUCCGAAGAGGGAUUUGUAAACUGAGUUAGGGGACACUUAGGAAUUUUGUUUGAAAUUACCAACCUAGCUAAACACUCACAAUCUCCUCCUUUGGCAAUUCUGGGACAAAACUCUUUACAAUACGAAUGAGUACAAGUAAGUAAGUCCCACCCAACUCUCAUACAAGGCCACACACUCACUCAAAACCUCACCAAAGGUGCUACAAAUCCUAUAAAUAAAUCUCAAGAAAAAACUUUAGGAGCACUUGCACAUAUUACCAAGACACUUCCAUAAGUUUCGAAUGAAUUGAUACACAAAUAUCCACAUAUAUCCACAAAAUCACAUGUCUAAAGAUAGUUAAUAUGCAUUCAUGAGUUCAAAAACGUGUCAAAUAUCCAUCGAUAUACAAAAAGGGUGAUCAUGAUCAACAUAUCAAAUAUCCAAAGCAACAAAACACAAAGAAACCGUCAUGAUCAACUACAUGUCAUAUCAACAUCCAUGUAAAAUGUAAAAUGUUUCCUAAUUUUUGUCCCAGUAGGAGACAAAAGGUCAUAAUCUCCCAUUUUCUAUCUUAGAAAAAAGACAAAUGAAUGAGAAUUCAAUAGCAUAAUAUCUCACAUCCAAAUCAACAAACAUCCACUUUUCAACAAAAUGUCAAAUACCCAAAAAUCAAAUAUUCACAUAUUACCAAGUAUCCAUAUCAACAUUUCAGAAAAAAAAAAUUAUAGGAUACAAUAAUCUCCUCUUGACUCCCAUCACAAGAUAUAAGAAUCUCUCCCUGAAUCCUAUCACAUGGUUUCAAUUAAAAACUUUCAAAAAAUAUGCUUUAUCACCAUGAAAAUAGAUUUCAAGCAUGAAAAUUUAUGGAAACCACUCAAAAUGAACAACCAAAGCCUAGGAUUAGCAUUCCUAGAAACUAGGAACACUCCAAGGCAAAAAUGAAAUCUCAAACUAUUAAAACUAUUGUGAGAAGACUCCACACACAAAAAAUAAAUAAAUAAAAUCCAAAUGAGACUAAGGGCUGAUUGGAAUUUCCAGAAGUGUAGAUUGUGUUGUGUUGAUUGUGCUGUGAAAAACAUAGUCCUAAGGGUUGAUUGGAAUUUCCAACUGCUGGAACGGAAUCCCAACUACACAAGAUACAAUCUAGUGACGCACAUUGGAGGUCCUAGCCAACACAUACUAUGUAGAAGGCAAUUUCUGACAACACCGACGCACUAAGAAGAGACACACAGACCGACGACAUGAGUUGGACAACACAACAAUUCUAGGCUAUUCGACGAGGCUGUUUGGUGGGAUUGGCUAGACUUGAAACGCUCACCAGAUAGGGAAGUCUGACUAUAAAGGUUUCCAAUGGUAGAGACUUAUGACGGUAGUGGUCGGAAUGAUGAACCGACGAUGAUGGCUAAAGAGAAGCAUAGAGUAGAGAAGUUUCCUUCUUUAGAACAAAAGACCUAGGGCUUUUGAAAGAAAUGAAUUGGGAAAAACUGAUUUAGGGAUUUUGACUUUUUUACUUUUAGUUACGAAAAUACCUCUCAUCCAUUAAACCAUAUGAGCAUAACUAGUUGGGGGCAAAAAUGGAAAUUUUCACAAAUGCAUAAGUGGUAUCGAUUUUAGUGGAUUGAUCUAGCUUUCGAUUGUGCUCUCGAUGAUACACAGUCACAUAGGUUUGAACAUACCAAAUUUGAAAAAAAUGGUUAAGUGUGUGAGAGACAAGUACUAGGUGGUAUCGACCUUGGUGGAUCGAUCUAAGAUUCAUUCAAGGGCUCUCGAUCACUACAUUGUGCACACAAUGGAUCGAUCCACAAAUUCAAUAGAUCGAUCGACACCUAAUUGAAAAAUGACUUAGGCAAAAACUAUUGAAAAAUCACAAGAAAUACACCAAUAGGCUUUCCAAAAACUGAAAAUUGAUUGACCAAAGAUGAGAUACAAUAGGAUGGCAUACUUAUAUUUCAAUUAAUGAGUUAGAGUUGAUUCACAUUGAACAAAAAUGCUUCCAAGAACUUAACAAUGGACAAAAUUAAUAAACAUAGAGAUUGAAGUACUUUCCAAAUUUAUCAAAUGAAUAGGUAAAAAACAAAUGAUUAUCAACACUCUAACAAGGAAGCUUAAGCUAAAAAAAAAAACUCACUCAUGACACCAUAAAACGGUGAAAAUGUUAAAUAAUUUCCACUUAUAAACCUAUAUUCAUUUAUGAGCCAAAAAUCAUUUUCAAGAUACUCUUCCUUUCUAGAGAAAUUCAAGAUAAUGUUCCAAGAAGUCAAUUUGCAUCUCUCUUGGCUAGAUUUCUGUUUAACAUGACCUAAUCACAUCCCUUUAAUAAAAUUCAUACACUAUUUGCUUUUCAUAUUUAGCAUUGAAAGGAAUACAAAGCUAUAAGUUUUACCUUAAAGAUCAGUUUUUGACUUGAGGAUCUCUAAGGACGCCUUUACAACAUAACAACAUAAGAGAUGUCCCACUUUUGCAAGGGAGGCUUUUUAAUUCUUGAAACACUGCCAAAGAGCCAUAUCCAUUCCGGGAAACUUCAUAUUUUCUUUUUCUUUUCUUUUUCAUUUUUUUUAAAAAUUUAAUUUCAAAGAGAGGACAAACAAUCAAAGAUUGAUAUUCUCAACCUCUCAAGGAUAUUCCAGGUGUCUUUACUCACUCUUUAAUGCUCAUUAAAUGGGUAUAAGUUUACAUUUAGACUUUAAAGAGCAUUAUUCACCAUUUAUGCAAACACAAGGUCUAACAAUGAGCUUUUUCUCACUUAAUAGAAAUGAAGCUAAUCAUUUGUAGUUUAUCUAACCAAAUCAAAAUAGCAAGGAUUCAAUAUCAUGUUUAUCAAACAAGCCAUGGAGAUAAAGACAUCUUGAAGCUUUUAAGAUCAUGAUGAGUUAAUUUAACUUUUAAACAAAAUGAAUAAGCAUGUCACUCUCAUGAACUCAACAAUUGUUGAAAAUUUAUGAAAAAUGGAGAAAAGAUUGAACCAAAACAAAAAGAACAUCAAGUUGAUGAUAUUUGGGAACUUAGGAAGACAACUAGGACUCAAGAAUAUGCAAGAGGAGUCCUAGACAAGUUUUAGAGGCAAUUAAAUAGAGAGUAUAUAAACCUAUGGGGCUCCUAAGUGAUUCAAACCUAGAAAUGUCCAAAGGUUUAGUAACAUUGUUAGCAAUUUGACUUUCUAUAGGGAAAAACUCUAGUGAAACAACCUUGUCUUCUACCAAGUCUUGAAUGCAGUGAUGCUUAAUGUCCACAUGUUUUUAUCUAGAAUGAAGAACACGGUUCUUUAACCUAUCAAUAACAUUGGCAUCAUCAAAUUCCUCCCCAUCAAUCUUAACUUUUACAAUGGGAUGCUCUUUUUCAUUUUGCAACAAUCUAUGUUGUAGCAAGUGAUUAACACAUACAAUUUUAGAACUUCCACACACAAGAGAAGAGGAUGAAGGAGAUUUUUUACUAACAACAUAGCACUUAUCACAAAUUCUCAAGCCCAUCAUCACACAUACAUCAUUCAAGUUAAACACCUUGCAAAAAUUUUGUGAAAAUUUUACAUUGAACUCAUUCCCACACAUUUGGCUUAUUCUAACUAAGUUAGCCUUUAAACCUUCAUAUAAGACCUCUUCAAGAUUAGGAAUUUCGGGGGCACAAAUGGUACCUUUGUCUUUCACCCUAGCCACAUUACCAUAUCUAAAUGUCACAUUUCCUCCAUCAAAUUCAGUGAAUGAAGUGAACAAAGAUUUAUUUCCAGUCAUAUGAUGUGAGCAUCUACUAUCAAGAUUCCAUGAGUGUGACUCACUAGCUCUAAGUACGUUAUGGACAACAAAACACUUCAACUCAUUCAUUUACACCCAAAUUUGUUUAAUAUUUGAGACUUGUCUUUUCAUUCAAAGUGCUUCCUUUCAACUCACCAUUAUGAGGGAUCUUUGACCACUUCUUGGACACUCUCUUAUUCUCAUUCAAUAACCUAUUCUUCAAAGUAUAACAUUCAUUCAUUAGGUUGGUAAAUUUCUUUUGAAAAUUAUCAGACAAUCUUGCAUAACAUCUAUAAAAAAUGUGUCCCAUUUUGCCACAAUGAUUGCAAUGAAACUUGAUUUGAGAAUGAGUUUUCUUAGGAGAUUAUUUUUCACAAGGCUUAACAAAAAUUGUUUUACCACUACUUGGAGUAGUAUUUGCAUCAACAAAUCCUAAGCCUUGUUUAUCAAAAAAUUUACACCCUAAAUUGAUCAACUCAUUAAGUCUCUUAGAGCUAGGAUGUGACUCUUCCUUCUUAAGACUUAACCCAUCCUUGAACAUUUGAUUCACUUUUCAAUACAUAAUAUUUUUUCUUCACUUCCAAAUGUUCAUUUUCAAGAAAUCCAAUUUUGUCAAGCAAAACCUUAUUUUCUCCCUUCAAGACAUCAAUCUCAUUGAUUAGAAUAUUCUUAGAAGCCUUCCACUUGACUUGUUCUUGUUUAAGGCUCAAGCACUCCUUAUACAAAGUCUCAUAUGCCGUGUCAAAACUCAUGUCAUCAUCAUUGGAGUCACUUGACUCAUGACUCACUUAUCACUUAAGACCUCUUUCUUGAGUGGUUUCUCAUUGACACUUGCAACAAAGGCUAUGAAGUUAGUGCAUUUUUCACUUCCAUUGGAUUCUUUUUCACUUGAUUGACAAGAUUCUAUGUUGCUUCAAGUGACUUGCAUGACCUUCUUUCCUUUUUUUCUUUGAGGGACAUUUGGCGGCAUAAUGUCCAUUUCCUCUACAUUUAAAGCACUCAAUCUCCAACUCUUUUUUCACACAUUUCUCCAUAUCCUUCUUUUUUUUCUAAUAGAGUUCCUCCAUUUUUACCAUCAUUUGAUUCUUUCUUGGAUUUUAUGAAUUUCAUGUACUUCUUAAUUUUUUUAGUAAACUUAGUAAGCACACCAUUUGAUAUUUUCUCAUCAUCCUCACUUUCGGAACUUAGGGACUCUUCUUUAAUAGUUUUUAAAGCAAUUCCCUUAGCUUUCCUAGGUGAUACAAGCGUCAUCUCAAAGGUUUGGAGGGAACCUACAAGUUCAUCUAUCUUCAAGGAAUCCACAUCCUUAGACUCUUCAAUGGUGGUAACCUUAGCUCUAAAUCUCUCUCGAAGAGAUCUUAAAAUUUUUCUAACCACCUUAGUGUUAGAGACGGAUUCACCUAGAUUGAAGUUAGAAUUCACUAUAUCCAUCAAUUUUGCAUGAAAUUCUCCAAAAGUUUCAUGGUCAUCCAUCCUAAUGGUCUCAAACCUAGAUGUCAACAUUUGAAGCCUGGACAUUUUUACGACAUUAGUUCCUUCAUGAGUCACUUGGAGGAUAUCCUAAGCCUUCUUUAACCAAAGUGCAUGUGGCAAUCCUAUGAAAUUCAUUCGUACUAAUGGCAUUGAAGAUGGAGUACAUGGCUCUAGCUUUAUUCUCACUUGCUUCAUUUUCACUUCUAUCACAUUCCAAUUUUGGCUUGAUAACAUUUGUUAGUUUACCUUCUCUAUCUAACACCUUAGGUGGAGACUAACCAAAUUCAAUGACAUUCCAAACUUUUUCACUUUGCAUUUUGAGAAAAUAUUGCAUUCUCACUUUCCAAUGAGAAUAAUUUUCACCAGUUAAGAAUGGUGGUCUCCUAAUGGAAGAUCUCUCUUAAUGAGGUUCCAUGAUUGAGAUUUAAGGACCGAAAAUGAUUUUUUCUUUAAAAACCCUCUCUGAUACCAAUUGAAAAGGUGAAUCUCAAUAGUGGAAUACACCUAAAUGGGGGUUGAAUAGGUGUUUUGACCAAUUUAUCAAAAUCUCAACUCAAAUUNNNNNNNNNNNNNNNNNNNNNNNNNNNNNNNNNNNNNNNNNNNNNNNNNNNNNNNNNNNNNNNNNNNNNNNNNNNNNNNNNNNNNNNNNNNNNNNNNNNNAAAAAAUGCACACUCUCUCACAAAGAAUGUAAAUUUUUCAAAAAAAAAAAAAAAAAAAAAACUUUCUUUUAUGGGGGGGCGCGGUGCUAUACAUUCUUAUAUAGGUAUAUAUAUAAAAAUAUAGAGACCUCACAGAGAAUGUGAGGGGUUCCUGUUCCUUGUGGGUCACUUCUAAAUCCUACACACACCCCUAAGAAACACACACACACUUUUUUUAUGGUGAACCACGACAAUAUACAUCCUUAUUUGGAUCUCUCUAUAAACAUAUAGAAGUGUGGGAGUGUGUGAGGCUCUCCCUUAUUUGAGUGGGCGUUUCUAAAACCUAUAUACAAAUUUUUUUACAUAUAGAAAUAUGAGAGGUACACGUCUAUUAUCUUUUCAUACCAUAUCUAUAUCACUCACUCUCUCUCUCACGUUUGUUUUGUGUGUAUAUAUAUAUAUAUAUAUAUAUAUAUAUAUAUAUAUAUAUAUAUAUAUAUAUAUAUAUAUAUAUAUAUAUAUAUAUAUAUAUAUAUAUAUAAAGUAUAUCCUUUUUAGGUUGUGCCUUUGAAUUAUUCCACUUNNNNNNNNNNNNNNNNNNNNNNNNNNNNNNNNNNNNNNNNNNNNNNNNNNNNNNNNNNNNNNNNNNNNNNNNNNNNNNNNNNNNNNNNNNNNNNNNNNNNCAAAGAUGAUUCAUAGUCAUUUCUCUUCAUCAUUCAAUCAAAUAGUAGACAAUCAAAAUUAUAAUAAAUUCUUGAAACUGAAAACUGAUGCUAAGAAGAGAAAGAGAGACAAUGAGACACCAUAAAUUUACAUGAAAAAUCUCCGAAGAGAUAAAAAACCAUGGGCCUAUUACUGAUUGAAAACAUCCACUAUGAAAAAUAAAAUCUGAAUACAAGGUUUUACCUACCUCAAGCCAACCAAUCUUUCCCAAACCACUUGACUAGUACCUUUACUUUCAGCUUCUCACCUUCUUCUUUCGAGGCACACUUGGAGUUUGUACCAAGCUCAAUCUCGACCUCUUCUUGAAUUCAUACAAGAACAAAAUGGGUUUUUGCACAAAACUGAGAGAAUGAGAGAUGAAUGUUUCAGAAAUCAACCCAUGUUCGUUUUUAGAAAAUCCAUUUUUUUAAAAAAAUUAUUGGAAAACUUGGACGGAUUUUCUUCAUAGGUAAACACCCUCCAAAUGGUGAGGAAAGAAAAAACUCUCUCACGGCUACUACAGUCACCACUUCCAGAAAUGAGGGAGAUUUGAUUUUAAAUGAGAGUGAAACCUUAAUCCAAAGGUUGAAAAUCGAUCUAAAAAACAUGUUAGUUGGAUCAAUUUACCCCUAUACCUAGAUUGAUCCAAAAACAGGGGAACAAAAGCCUUGCACCAACAAUAUUUCUCUCAGUUUUCUUUACUCAUUUAAAGAUGAAAAAUAGGGUUGAUUCACAUUCAAUCACCACACACUCAACCACAUACCUUGACCUCUUAGCAAGUCUUAAUCUUCAAAGGUCAAGUAGUUCGAAGAGGGAUUGGUAAACCAAGUUAGGGAACACUUAGGAAUUUUUUUCGGAAUUUCCAACCUAGCUAAACACUCACAGGUUCAUUUUUUUAGAAACAUAUAACACCUUAAGAAAAAUAUGUACAUUUGAUUUCAACUUAACAUGACAGAGUCACACUCAUUUGGGUCUAAGAUUUGACUUAUGUAUGCUACAAAAUGUAAUUAAGAGCUUCCCAAACCUCAUUUGACAUGGUGGAACCCUACCUAAGGUACAUCUUUUACAAAAAUACAUACAUUCUUAACAAAUAUAUAUAUAUAUAUAUAUUUUGAAGAAAAAUACUUACAUUUUUUUCAAGCGAACUGUGUGUUGGCGUCGUAGAUCUAAGGAACGGAAACAAUACGAAUUUAUUUAUUUAUUUUUUUAAAUUGAUCUUUAGGGUUAAAGUGCUAACCUUUAGGUUUGGAUGUUUCAGACCUUAAAUUCCAAGUGUUGAAGAUGACAUUGAAGUUGUUGGAAGUCUCGUAAACCCAUGGUCUUUUGCUUGAUGACUCAACUUUAUUCUUGGCACAUUUUUGAUAGGAAGGAAAGAAAGGUGGAGGCUAGAGCUCUCUUUAUCUCUAAAUGGUGGAAGGAAAAAGUGAUGAAGACUCUAACCCCUAGGGGGUAUUUAUAGGGUUCCUAACUAAGCUUAAGUGACUUGAGCCCACAUGGGCUUGGGUAACUUAAUUUAGGCCAAAAUGGAUCCUAAUUGAUUAAUUAACCCAAUAGGGCCUACUAAUUAAUUAAUUAGCUCAAUCUAGAGACUUUGUUCACUUAUCCUUGUGCAAUCUUGUAUAAUUACCAAAACACCCUUAUGCACAAAAGUAAACCUAUAGUCAAUUCGACCCUCAUAACUAUGCCAAAAAGAUAUAUAAGCUCAGAGCGGGGACCACUAGGAUCCAUAAGAGUACUAACUCCCUCAGGAUCCAAUUAUGAAGUUGAUUCAACAUCUUAUUACAAAGAAUCAACCAAACUCCAAUAUUCUAUGUAAAUAACAACAAGACACUACGUGCUCGGGUCUAUGACCUAGUAUCCAUUGUGUUCAGUCUUCCCAUGAACUGGUGUUUUAGUCUAACAAGGUGAAAGCUAUCAACCUUUCAAGACUCUCUACCAUCCUUGUGUUACAAAUCCUCCUAUUGUAUAUUCAAUUGACAUGUCUUAGCUUUCAAAGAGCUUAUGUCAAGUUCUACUUAAGGAACUAUUAUGACCAUAGUUUCCAUGAACACAUCCCCUUAAGAUCACCCAAGGGGACACAUUGUCUCAAUCCCAUGAGAUAUCAUGGUGUCUAUUGAGAAUGCCUAUUGUUACCGACUUCCAUUAACAGUGACCCAAUCCAUAGGGAAUAUAUGAUCAACUUACGAUCUCACCCAUAGGUAAAAGUCAUUGCUAAUUUUAGUACAAUCUCAAUAUUCUCUCAAGGUUGAGAGAUAACACAAUGAAGUAUCUUGGUGAGGUCAUGACUACUUGAUAGUCUUAAGUCAUGACUCAUCAUAGGUCUUGUCCAACGUGUAAUCAUACACAGUAGUGUACUCACCAUGGGAAACCCAUCCCAAUAACGAAGACCAACCAUCCCUCCAAUUAGGAGGUGGUGCACUACAACCUCUAAUGGGUUGCCUAGACCCAUAAACCGGUUGUGAACAAGUCAAUUAUUUGCAAGGAACCCAUGACUUAAAGAUCUUCUAUGCAACUCCUAAUGCACCUAAGUCAUGUACAAUGCAAAAUAUGUUGACAAGACUUCUCAUAAAAUAUAAUACAUGGAAUAAAGAUAGAUAAAAGUGAAAUGGGAACAUCAUUAAAUAAAUAAGGAAUUUCAAAUUUAAUACACCAUGUUAUGCUUUUAAGAGCUCUAUCUUAAGACUAUAAUCCUAUUUGACCUUAUUUAGGUCUAGGUAUUCACUUAUGGAAGCCUGAGAAUGAAUUAAAGGUCUUUCCUUACCUUGUUAGGCUUUUCUAAACCAUAAGAACAUCCUUAAGAAAAAAUACAUAUAUUUUUAUGGAAAACAUGUACGUUCUUAAAAAAACAAAAUAUGUGCGUUUUUUUUAAAGGAGAUUGUGACCUUAUUUUGCCUUAUUUAGGUUUUAAUAUUAACUUAUGGAAGCCUUGUAAUAAUUUUGAGGCUUCCCAUUCCUCGUUGGUCAUUUUUAAAGUCUACGUACAUCUUUAAGAAAAAUAUGCACAUUCUUAAACAAAGUAUGUAAAUUCUUCAAAAAAAAAAAAAAAAAAAACCUUUUCUUUUAAGGUGGACCAUGGUUCUAUUCAUUCUUAUUUAGGUCUAAAUAUUAAAUUAUAGAAGCCUCAUAAUGAAUUUGAGGUCUUCCUGUUCCUUGUAGGUCAUUUCUAAAUCCUACAUACAUCCUUAAGAAACAUACAUGCAAUUUUUUUAAGGUGAACCAUGACAAUAUACAUCCUUAUUAGGAUCUCAAUAUUAACAUAUGGAAGUGUUGGAAUGUUUGAGGCUUUCCCUUAUUUGAUUGGGCAUUUCUAAAACCUAUGUACAAUUUUUUUAACAUAUGGAAAUAUGAUAGGUACAUGACUAGUAUCUUUUCAUACCAUAUCUAUAGCAUUCAUUCUUACUAUCAUGUUUGUUUUGUGAUUAUAUAUAUAUAUAUAUAUAUAUAUAUAUAUAUAUAUAUAUAUAUAUAUAUAUAUAUAUAUAUAUAUAUAUAUAUAUAUAUAUAUAUAUAUAUAUAUANNNNNNNNNNNNNNNNNNNNNNNNNNNNNNNNNNNNNNNNNNNNNNNNNNNNNNNNNNNNNNNNNNNNNNNNNNNNNNNNNNNNNNNNNNNNNNNNNNNNUCAAAAAAAAAAAAAAAAAAAACCCUUUCUUUUAAGGGGGGGCACGGGUCUAUUCACUCUUAUUUAGGUGUAAAUAUAAAAAUAUAGACGCCUCACAAAGAAUGUGAGGUCUCCCCGUUCCCUGUGGGUCACUUCUAAAUCCCACACACACCCCUAAGAGACACACACGCACUUUUUUUAAGGGGAGCCACGACACUAUACACCCCUAUUUGGGUCUCUCUAUUUACAUAUGGAGGUGUGGGAGUGUGUGAGGCUCUCCCCCAUUUGAGUGGGCGCUUCUAAAACCCAUGUACACUUUUUUUAACACAUGGAAAUAUGAGAGGGACACGUCUAGUGUCUUUUCUCACCCUAUCUAUAGCACUCUCUCUCUCUCUCACGUGUGUUUUGUGUGUAUAUAUAUAUAUAUAUAUAUAUAUAUAUAUAUAUAUAUAUAUAUAUAUAUAUAUAUAUAUAUAUAUAUAUAUAUAUAUAUAUAUAUAUAUAGAUAUAUCCUUUUUAGGUUGUGCCUUUGAAUUAUUCCACUUCUAAUGGUUUGAAUUGUUUUUUCUAUUCUAAUGACUAUAAUUACCAUGGUACCAAGAAUUAUGUUUACCACGACCAUGAUUGUGUCCUUAGCCUUGUUCACGUCCAAGUCCAACUCAAUGUCUAGGAGCUUGGACGGAUGUGACAGUUGCUUCUAGCAAUGACACAUACCUAAUAGUAUGAGGUUGAUGAUUCUUCGGUAGAAGUUCAUUAUUUUGUUUAGCCAUAAGAAGACAUUAAACUAAUUCAAAAUAUUUAGUGAAAUGAUGUUCUUGAUAUCGUUGCCAUAGGAGUACAUUCGAGGCAUGAAAAAUGGUGUUCAUUAUUCUUUAAUGAUUUUUUCUCCAUAUAAAUUGUGAACAACUUUUGAAUAAAGUCGAGUUGUGGUCAUUGACAGACUUGAAAUUUUGUAAUCUCAAGUGCAUCUAAUCAUGAUGUGCUUUUGGAAGGAUUACAAUCUCGUGGUGGCCAUAUCAUUAUGUUAUAUUAUUCCAAAGGAUCAAAGUAUCAUUCCAUUAGAUUAUUUCAAAGGAUGAAAAUUCUUUGAUUGUAAGGAAUUCACCUUUUAUUCCUUCAUCAAUGUGAUAAUGAAGGAAUAUUAAUGCUCUAGUACGAUCUUGUGAGGAUGCCUCAUUUUAUUUUUUAAUGGUCUUUUCAAGAUUCAUAUUGUUUAGGUGAAUUUUAGCAUCUAGAAUCCAUAUAAAUAGUUUGCCUGAAAUAGGGAGUGUAACAAACUCAAACUUGGUAAGAUUUGACAUUAUUUGAAAACUAUAUUUGAAAUAAUUUAAUUGGAAUAAUAUUUCAAUUUACCAAAAUGAAUUAUAAAUAAAUGAAUAAAAUUAUCUAACAAUAUUUUAUCAGGUUAAUAUUCAUUAAUAAAAACAUAACGAUUUAAGAUUUUGUUAUAUUUUAUCUCUAAAGGAUUAUUAUAACUAUGGUAAAAAAAAUGCAUGAACAUCAUGUAGUAUUAACAAAAUAAAAAUUACGAAUUGAUAGCUUACAUAGCUUUUGGCUAUGGAUUAUUUUUAUCAUAACAAAAAUGUGUAAAUUUGUAUAUAUCUUUAGGCUAUGAAAUAUUCAUUAUUUAACUUCUAACUAUACAAUUUUGUUUUGUGUAACAUUUGGUUAUAUCAUUAUAAUUAAAAGAAAUUAGAAAUUACGUGUAAGUCAUUCUUUAUAUUUUUAUAACUUUAUAAUUUCUCAUAUAACCUUUGGCUAUACAAUUGUACAUAUUUUACAUAUUUUUUUAUAACUUCUAGUUGUGAUUUUUUUUCAUAAUUUUUGUCUAUAAAAAAAAUAUUUUCAAGUUUCUUCAUCGAAAAAAGGAUAAAUUAAAUAGAAAAUAAUACAAAAGUAGAAGUUUAUCACAUACCUUUUAGAGGAGAAAAAAGAUAUUUUAUGAGAAUAAGUUUGUCCUUUUAGUGUUUGAAUCUUAUACAAAAACUUAUAAUAAGAGUUUUCUUUUGGAGAGACUAGAAUUAGAGAAGAGAUAGAGUUCUAAAAUAACUUUGAGGUAUCCAUUUCAUUGACCCAAGUUUCCUAUUUAUAAGAGUUUGAAAAAACUAGGAUUAAUUAUAAUAUUUAAUUCUUUAUGGGGAAAAAGUAAAAAAUAAAAAAGGCUUUUAAUCAUUAAUUAAGAGUACUUGCUUAAAUACAAAAUUUCACAAAAAUUUAAACUAAAUUCCUUUAAAAAAGAAUAGAUAACUUGUUUUAAAAAAUAGUUAAACUAUGUUAAUUUUAUAUAAUUUGAGUGAGAAAUAAAUUUAUUAUAAAUUGACAAAGUUGUCAUUCACAAAAAGCAUCAAAUAUAUUUGAUUUUUUUUUUCAUUUUCAUUUUUCAUUUUUUUAAGGAAAAAUCAGAUUUAAAUUUUUUUCAUAAAUUGAUAGCUAAAAGAUAAAUUUACAAAAUUUCAAAUCCCCACAUGUUUCCAUUAUUUUUACCCCAUAAAUUAUCCCAUCCUUAAUAAGAUUGAAUUUUGCAAAUUAUUAUUGAUUACUCAUUCAAAAAUAAAAAUAAAUUACACUAAAAAUCAUAAAAUUUAAAUUAGAAAAAUAUUUAAUAUAAAUUUUAAAAAUUCAGCUUUAUAAAAAAUAAAAAUAAUUAUCAAUUCUAAUAAGAUUUUUUUAAUCAAAAUUCUAAAGCAUAAUUCACAUUCAUCUAAAUAUUUAUUAGAAUUAAUAAUUUUUAAAAAUAUAAAUUAAAAUUUGAUACCCCUUCGGAGAUAAAAUUCCAAAAAUCAAUGAAUUAAUUUAGAAAAGAAUACAUAUUUCAAUCUCAAAUCUUCAAAUCUAAACAUAUACUAACUUAGAAAAGUUCUAAUAGUUUCUAACAAGUCUAAGUGGGUAUUUGGUAAAUCAAUUUAAUAACUUAAUUCAAGUUAUUAAAUAAAUUAAAUAUAGUUGGUAAAAUAAUUUAAUGGUAUGACUUAAAGUAAAAAACAACUUUAAGUAAUAAGUAAAAAUAAUUAAUUUAUUCUUAAAUUCAUGUUUUCAUUUUAUCUUUUUACCCUCAUUUAUCUUAGUUCCACGAUUUAUUUUGCUAUUAUACAACUUCCAUCAUUACUUGAUCUCAUUUACCCUCAUUAUAAUUUAUGGGGGUAAGUAUAUUAAUUUGAUGAUUUAGAAUAAAUUUUAAAUUAAUUUUAUUAAAAAAUCUUAAUAUUUAAAGUAAAAAUUAAGUAAUAAGUUUUAAGUCAAUAACUUCAAUAUAAUUUUACUUAAAAUCAACUUAAGUCAUUGAGUAAUAAUUAUUGAGUUUUACCAAACACCCCAUAAUUAUACUUAUUAUCAUACUACCAAUUUCUUAUCAAUUACAUAAUUAUUUAUUAUAAAAUUUUAAUAUGUUAAUGAAUUAUGAUAUUUAAAUAUUUAAAAAUAUGUUGAUUGCAAACUAAUUUAACAAGAAAUAAAAUAAUAUUAUUUUGUAAAUAUUUUUGUAAUGUAAAAGAUAAGUAAUUUAAUAUUUUUUAACAUUUACUAAUAAUUAAAAUAUAAAAAAUUUAAAUAUUUAACAAUACUUAAUUUAUUCAAAUUUAAAACAAAUUUAGAUCUUAGAUAAAAAUACAAUCACCACUGAAAUUUUAAAUAUUUAAAAUACACAUAAAGUUUAAAUAUUUAUUUAAUUUCAGGAAUCUAAGAACUAAGGAAGGGACCAAUAGUGACUUGUCGAUCUAAAAGUAUGCAAGUUCUAUUUUCUUUUCCCUACAAUAUCAUUUUUUUCCUUGCAACAUCAUUUUUGUGGUGGAAAUUAUGCGGAGGACCAGUGUACUUAAUUGACAGGGCUGGCGAAAGCGAUGACGUGGAAUGAUCAAAGCAAUGAGAUGUCGUGGAAGCAACCAACUAUCGGGACGCUUCUAUAUUUUACCAUGCCAUAACAAAAGUUUCCAUAAUUCGCAAGUUCUGGAGAGAUACGAAACCGAGAUAGAAUAUAAUUUAGAAAGGAAAAUGAAAAUGAAAGCUGAGAUAAGGAAUGAGCAUCACCACCUCCUAGAAGUAUCCAAGGGUUUAACCCACUCUCUGAAAUUUGCUAUAAAUACUCAGCAAUUUCCCGUGUUGUUCAUCAAUACUUAAAAGAGUUUGAAUUUAUCAAUCACAUUAGUAGCAAUGGCAGACGAGAUUAUCGUGUUGGAUUUCCGGCCUAGCAUGUUUGGUAUGAGGGUCAGAGUUGCCCUGGCAGAGAAGGGUCUCAAGUAUGAAUAUAGAGAGGAGGACCUGUGGAACAAGAGCCCUUUGCUUCUUGAGAUGAACCCAGUUCAUAAGAAAAUCCCAGUUCUGAUCCACAAUGGAAAGCCCAUUUGUGAGUCUCUGAUAAUAGUUCAGUGUAUUGAUGAGGUUUGGUACGAUAAAUCUCUGCUUUUGCCCAGUGACCCAUACUAGAGAGCUCAGGCCAGGUUCUGGGCGGACUACAUAGACAAGAAGGUAUGCCUUUGCUGUUGAUUUAAAGCAUUCUUUUCCAUUGAUUCAUGGCGAUUGACUCAGAUUUUGAUUAUGGUGAGGGAUUUGUCCAAAAUGCUGGGUUUCUUCACACGUUCCCUUCUGAUAUUGAGUUUUGUGGGCUUUGGGGUUCCAAACUAGAACUUUUACUGAUUCUCCUUGCUGUUUGUUCAACAAGACUAUACUCUGCAUUUCUGAUAUGGGUUUAAAUUUCUUGUUUAUGUUGAAUACGAAUUCUGUUCGUUCCAUCAGGAAAAACAGAUCUCAAGAAUACCUUUUUUCCCCAAGCAAGGCGAAUACAUAAACCAGAUAUUUAAAGAAAGGUGUUUGGUUUUUUGUUAUCUUGCUGUUCAACAUCUUGCACAACAGUUGUUUUAAUAUAUGUUCUGUUUCUUUGAUCUCUUUCUUCUCAUUUUCUGAAACCCAAUUUGAGGGGAAAAACUUCAGCAAAUGAUACAUUCUUUCAGCUGAUUCUGAUCUUUUUUCUUCCACCGGCACUUCAUUUUAUUCUUAGCAAAUGAUAUUUCUAUGCGGAAGAGUCCUUAAUAAACUUGUCCAACUUUACAGAAUUUGAAACUUGAUGAAAUUCUCCAAAAAAAAUAAUCCUUCUCUCUUUGACUCCAUUAUUUUCCACAGCUCUAUGAACUUGGAAGGAAGAUAUGGUCAACCAAAGGAGAAGAGCAGGAAACAGCCAAGAAGGAAUUCAUAGAGUGCCUUAAGCUUUUGGAAGGAGAGCUUGGAGAGAAGCCUUACUUCGGUGGUGAAAAAAUUGGGUUUGUAGAUGUGGCUCUGGUGACCUUCUCUUGCUGGUUUUAUGCAUACGAGACCUUUGGCAACUUCAGCAUAGAGGCGGAGUGCCCCAAGUUGAUCGCUUGGACCAAGAGGUGCAUGGAAAGGGAGAGCGUGUCGUCUUCUCUUGCAGACCCCCACAAGGUCCAUGGCUUUGUCGUGGUGUUGAGAAAGAAGUUUGGUAUAGAGUAGAAGGGGCACAUGGGUCCUCUCUCGAAGACCCCGCAAGGUCCAUGACUUUGUCACGUGGAUGAGAAAGAAGUUUGGUAUUGAAUAAAAGGGAAAUAUCACGGUCUAUGCUCUAUUGAGUAGUGUUGUAUUGGUAAUGUAAGAGGAGUGUUUGCUUAAGUUUGCUAAGUGAUAUGGGUUUGCUGAGCUAUGUUGUUGGAAAUAAAUGUUUUGAAUUUGUUUUGGACUAGAGACGUGUUCCUGUAUUAAAGAAAUAAAAGUCUUUGACUACAUUUCCAUCGUGUCCACAUGAACAACUAUUAAGACAAAUUGGUUAAGACAUGCCCUAGAUAGAAAUAGAUAGAAGUGAGUCAUGAAAUGCACAUAUCUAACCUGCUCUUAUUACCAUAUUUUUUUUUUUUUAAAAAAAACUUUGAUAUGAGAAGUCAAAGAGCAUGUCGUUGUUGAUUUUUUUUUCUUUUUCACAAGAAUAUAUAUAUAUCUUCCAUAAAAUUAUCUUCAUGAAAAUUUUCUAUUUUCAAUUUUUUUUCUCUAUUCCAUUUUCUCAUAUUUAUUGAUUUUAAUUAUUUAUAGAUGUUUUAAAUAUAAAAUAAUAAUAUAAAAUAAAUAAUUAAUAAGAAAAAUUUUAAUAUAACAAUAAAUAAAUAAAAUGUUGAAAGUAAUAUUAUGGUAGGAAGGAUGUAUCACUCUUUUUUGGUUUAAACUAAGAUAUGUUACCAUCAUUUAUGUGCUAGAUGUCUUAUUAAUGGUGAAAUAACGUGAAUUCAAAGGGUGUUAAUGUAACAUUGAUCAACACAACCCUUGAAAAAAUGAAUACCACUCUUUUAUAAAUAAAAAACACCACUAAAUUGUAUUAAAAGUAUCAUUGUAGUGUGAAUGUUGUACUAUUCUUCUUUGGUUUAAGGUAUGUUUCCAUUUGUUAUGUGCUCAACGUAUUAGGUAAUGAUGAAAUAACGUGAAAUGAGUGAAUGUUAUUAUGCAACAACACCGAUCAACACAACCCUUAGAAAAAGAGGGUACCACUCAUUUAUGAAAAAUCUACUAUGUUAAAAGUACUACUAUGGUGGGAAGAAUGUAUCACUUGUCUUUAAGUUCUACCAUGGUAGGAAAAAUGUAUCACUCUUCUUUGGUUUACGGCGAGGUUUGUUACUAUUCAUUACAUGCUCAACGUCAUAUGUGAUGAGGAAAUAAUGUGAAUUGAGAUGGUGUUAUUUCACUAUAACACUGAUCAACACAAAUCCUUGGAAAAAAGGGUACUACUCUGUAGACAUAAAAAAAAUUAGUGGAUUAAAUUACCACUAAUUUGGUCUUCAAAAUGAAUAAAAAAAAAAAUAUAUAUCCUCUUAUGGAUAAGUUUCCUUAAUCUCCAACUAUAAAAAGGAUAAUAAUAAUAAUAAUAAGAAAAUUAUUAUUAUUAUUAUUAUUAUUAUUAUCUUGUUGAUAAAACCUCUUGGGAGAAGAAAAUUUGCUAAAAUCAAGGAACUAAAUCCCUUGAAUUAAGCAACUAAACUCCGAGAAUUUGAAAUUCAAAUUCCAUAUCUUCACCUAUAAAUAGAGGUGUCUUCUUUCAAGAAAGGAGAUGAAGAAAUUGAGAAAUAAAAAAAAAAUUCAGAAAGGAAAAUCCUAAGGAGAAAAUCCAAAGGCAAUUUUGUACAGGAAAAAAAGGUUUCAUAACAAAAGAAAAAGUUUCAUCAAAUUUCUCUGCAAGUUUGGUAAAUGGUAGAACUGCUAAACGCAUUCUUUGCCAUUUAACGAGUUCAUUCGGGAAUAAGCCACUUGUGACCCUCGAUUGAUCUUUGAAAUCAAGAAAACGUCAUCGUCGUCUUCCAAAGUGUGAUUAAGGCAAAAGAAUUAGGGGGGAAAAUUAUUUUGGAAAGAAUAUUAUUUUGAGAUUUUACCCACAAUAUUUUCAAUUUUAAUAAAUGUUUUGUUCGCAUUAUUUUCCUAUUUAUUUUGUUAAUUUGGUAGGACCAUUUAUGAAAUUUGUGGGUACAAAUUUCUAGCACGCCCAGCGAGACUUCUUUGCCUCUCGUCUCUUUUUAGAAGAUUGAUCUCUACUUCAUUGAUGACACCCAAAAGAACUCAAGUUGUGCAUGUAAACAAGGGCAAUGACAAGAUCAUCAUUGCACAAUCAACACAUGACGCCGCUAUGGGCCCCAUGACUCAUAGCAAAGCAAAAUCAACAUCUUCACUCUCAACAAAACAAAUAAGUGAGUUUGCUUGUUUGCUAAAAUCGGUAAGAACGUGUGAUGAGCACCAGCCACUCAUCACAUUGGUCUCUCUAGGGGCAAAGAGCCAUAGUCCUCGUAGUAGGGGAAAACUCACUUCAACACUACAGGACUUAGGAUAAAUCUCCUAGCUCUGUUAUCGAUUCUAACUCUAGCACCGGCUCAUACUCCGAGUCGCCAGCUGGAAUGUCAAAGGAGGAAAACUACUCCAAUCGUUUCGACUCUUUUACUUCUCCCUUCUCGAUGACUAUGCUGGUAAUGGCAACUGGCACUACAUUUGUAGAGGAACAAUUAGUAGAGAUGGCUCAUGGCAUCGCCAAACUCACCAAAAUGGUUGAGGAGAAGGAUAUGCAAAUAGCCUCCCUCAUAAAUAAGGUUGAGGCACAAGUACAAAAUAUGGGUGAGUCAAGUCAAGGACUCAACCACUUUCUGAAUGUUGCAUCUCUUCUCGAUGAUGCACCACAUGCGUAUAGGACAAUCCAAGUUGAGAGACAAAUGGCGGAAUCUGCCUCAAUGGCAUCAUUAUCUAUCCAACAACUUCAGUACAUGAUAACUAACACCAUUAGAGUGCAGUACAGUGGACCCUUACAGAGUACGCUCAUGUACUCAAAACGUUACACUAAGAGGAUUGAUAACCUACGUAUGCCUGUGGGUUAUCAACCUCCAAAAUUUCAAUCAUUUGCAAAAUUUCAAUCAUUUGAUUGGAAGGGAAAUCCAAAACAAUAUAUUGCCCAUUUCAUUGAAACUUGUAACAAUGCAGGUACAGAUGGUGACUUAUUAGUUAAACAAUUCGUCCGUUUUAUUCGAAGGAAUGCUUUCGAUUGGUACAUAGACCUUACACUUAAGUGUAUCGAUAAUUGAGACCAAAUGGAAUGUGAAUUCCUCAAUAGUUUCUAUAACACCCGACGAACUGUAAGCAUGAUGGAACUUACUAACACUAAGCAAUGGAAAGACAAGCCGAUUAUAAACUAUAUCAAUUAUUGACAUUCCUUAAGCCUUGACUACAAAGAUAGAUUAUCUGAGGUAUUGACCAUGGAAAUGUGCAUACAAGGAAUGCAUUGGGGUCUCCUAUACAUUCUCUAAGGGAUACAACCUCAUACAUUUGAAGAAUUAGCUACCAAAGCACAUGACAUAGAGCUCAACAUAGACAACCAUGGUUCUAAGAAGGACCUUACCAUUGAUCGAUAAAGAGAAAGACAUGAUGGGAAAAUGAGUGACAAGACCUCAAAGAAACCUAUUCAGGAGUCAAUGACAAUAAAUAUAACUCUUGUCAAAAUCUCAGCAAGAGAUAAAAAAAAGGAAGUAAAAGAGGUCAGACUAACCCAGGAAAAUAAGAUGUGUCAAUUCAUCUUGAAGGAAUUAGAGGAGAAGAAGUAUCCUUUUCCUGACUUUGAUGUGCCUAACAUGUUGGAAGACUUGCUCCAAAAAAAGGUUAUUAAGUUACUUGAGUGUAAGCAUCCAAAAAGAAUGGGUCGUGUUAAUGAUCCAAUCUACUAUCAUUACCAUCGAAUUGUUAGUCAUCCUAUGGAGAAAUGUUUCAUUUUAAAAGAUCUCAUAAUGAAACUUGCAAAGCAAAGAAGAAUUCAUUUAGAUCUGGAUGAAGUAGUAGAGUCAAAUCAUGCUAUAGUCACAUUUGAGUCAUUUGAUCCUGUUCCAUUACAUGUUCCACUUAAGAAACUAGGGACAUGUGGCAAUACUAUUCAAUGUGAGUCACCAAAACCAAAGCAAACAUAAGUGUCAUGUUAGGAUAGCCUUCUUCGCCUUUGCUCUGAUAAUAAAUCAAUGUCAUAUGACGAAGAAGGUUGGAUAUUGGUGACACGAAGAAGACUUUGCAAGAAGCAAGGGUCGCAUUCAUACCCUAACCUUCUUAGGAGGGAAUGACAUGAGUGGAAUACUCACCAACAUUUAAAGAAGAAAGAAAAAAAGAAUCUUAAAAGAAAACAAGCGAUUGUACAAAUAGACGACUUUUUGGUCCAGAAACUCAUCACCCCUAUCACCCUAGAGAAAUACUUCCCUCUAGGGUUCUUUGAUAAAAGGGUGGCAGUAUCAACUCAUAUGGUCUCUUGCUAAGAGACUUCAAAAGAAGAGGGGUUAAGUGAAGAUGAGGAAAACAUUCUUGGUGUUGAGUCAAGAAAAACUAAGGAAGAAGAGGGGGUUGUAGCAAGCCUACAACACCUACUCUCACUAUUUAGUAGCCACGAAAUGCUACAACUACCUAAUGAGAUACAAAAUGUGUUGAUUCAAGUACUUAAGGAUCCAACACUCUAUGCCACCAAAAUAAAGGGGGCAAAAAGACUUGAGGAUGAAAGCCACAAUUGUGCCAAAUGUUGUGCAGCCAUCAUUUUUACUAACGAAGACCUUCAGUUAGGGUCAAAACCACAUAAUCGACCCCUGUUUGUUACUAGGUACAUACGGGAACAAAAUAUCACUUGCAUUUUAAUUGAUGAAGGGUUUGGAAUAAAUAUCAUGCCUAAAGCAACAAUGAAAUGACUCAGGAUUGCUACAAAAGAACUAACUCAGAGUCGCCUAAUGAUCUAAGGCUUUAAUCAAGGGGGACAACGAGCUAUUGGUAUGAUUCACCUAGAGCUUGUUACAGGUGAAUUGAGUUCGAACACAUUGUUUCAUGUAAUCAUUGCAAAACAUUUUACAACUUAUUACUCGAGCGACCAUGACUUCAUGAGAAUGGGGUAAUUCUUUCGACACUAUACUAGUGUUUCAAAUUCUAUAGAGGAGGGGUAAAGGUAGUAUAGACUGAUACUAAGCCAUUUACAGAAGUCGAGUCUUAUUUUGUUGAUGCUAAAUUUUACAUAGAAAAUGAUGUUAUGCAGGAAGUCCUUCUUGCGAUUAUUCUCUCCACUGGGAAUGCUAAACUUAAGGAAAAAGUUGAGCUAUGUAAGUUGACAUCAGCAGGGAAAUUUCAUAACAAAUGAUGACUCAAAUAAAAAAAAAAGAGAAAUUUUCAAAAAAAUUGACAUUGGACUUGACAAUUCUCACUACUUUCCUAGUUUUUAGGUACAUCCCAAUAUCUCGACGAAGUGAGGGUCAACCAUUUUUCAUAGAAGACAAAAACAAAGUACAACCCUGAGGAUUGGAAAAUGGGGACCUUUAAGUCUUGAAAGAAGAUACGACCAUUCCUCUUCCAAACUUACAACUUAUCUCUAGGGAUGAAACACAAAAAUCCAACAAAACCUCAAGAGAUCAAACAAAGCAAGAAUUCUUUCCUGGUAAAAGAAUAAAUGAGGAGUUCAACCCUAAGACUUACAAGUUAUUAGCCAAGGCAAGGUAUUACUUCACUUCGUCAUCACGAUUAGGAGAACUUAGCCUCGAGACUACAGGUGAAAAGAUGCAUGACUUUAACGAAACUCAAAAAAAGUUGAAACAACAAGGGUAUGCAGUCAAACCUUCUAGUGCAGGUUUAGGGUUUGUACCUUUUGAGCCUAUCAAAAUUUUAGUUAAGACUAAGAAGACUAAGGCAAGUACACAACAUAUCAUUGUAGAAGACAUGGAGGAGAGUAGUGGGUCUAACUCUCCUUCUCGAAUUUCAAUAUUUGAUCGGAUUGAAGCUCUAAUUACAUGAGCUUCAGUGUUCACUAGGUUGGGCGAUUUUAACCAAGUAUAAUGUAAUUUAGCACAUAUUCCACAAAGGUCAAUACAACGAAGGAUUAAUACUCUACCCAAAAGUCACGACGACAAAAUCCCAAUAAGAAGUAGUGUAGUGAACUAAAUAAGAAUGCAAAAAUAAGAAGUUUAAUCCCAUCAAGGAUGAAACACCAUUCAACUUGGGAAAUUUGUACUAAUGGCUAGUUAAAAUUAAAAUGACAUACCAUCGUGAUCACCAAGCAGUCGGACGAGGGAUGCCCUAAAGAUGUUAAAUAAAGUUUGACACACAGUAACUACCAUAUUACAGUAGAAGUUGACUCUAAUUCAGAGUUUUUAGAAGAUGAACUAUGAGAAGCUCCUCAAGUAUUUGAGGACGGGGGGCAGGCCACUGUAGAUGAGUUAAAAGAGCUCAAUUUAGGUACAAAUGAGGACCCAAGGCCAAUUUAUGUAAGUAUGCUUUUAAGUCCUUCUGAAGAGAAAAGUUAUUUUGAAUUGUUACUCAAUUAUAAAGAUGUCUUUGCAUGGUCGUACAAAGAAAUGUCAGGUCUUGAUCCAAAAGUUGUAGUACAUUAACUCACGGUGAAACAUGGUGUCCGAUUGAUUAAGCAAGCCCAAAGACGAUUUUGACCAGAACUUGUUUCGCAAAUAGAAACGAAAAUUUUCAAAUUGAUUGAAGUUGGUUUUAUUAAGGAGGUAAAGUACCCGACAUGGAUUGCGAACAUUGUUCCAGUGAAGAAAAAGAAUGGGUAGAUCCGUGUCUGUGUAAAUUUUAGAGAUUUAAACAAUGCUUGCCCAAAAGAUGACUUCCCAUUACUAAUUAUUAAGCUUAUGGUUGAUGCAACUACAGGUCAUGGAACUUUAUCCUUCAUGGAUGGAUCAUUGGGGUAUAACCAAAUACAAAUGGUGCCAGGGGAUGAAGAACUUACUGCAUUUUGUACUCUAAAGGGUAUUUACUGUUACAAAGUGAUGCCUUUAAGACUAAAUAAUGCAGAUGCAACGUAUCAACAUGCCAUGCAGAAAAUAUUUGAUGACAUGCUUCAUAAGAAUGUCGAGUGCUAUGUUGAUGAACUGGUGGUCAAGUCUAAGAAGAGAGAAGACCACCUGCAAGAUCUUCGUAUGGUGUUUGACAGGUUAAGAAGGUACCAACUUAUGAACCUACUCAAAUGUGCUUUUGGUGUUACUUCUAGUAAGUUUCUAUUUUAUUGUUCGACACCGUGGCAUUGAAGUGGAUCAAUCUAAGAUCGCAACCAUUCGAGCUAUGCCAGAGCUGAGGAAUCUUUAAGAACUUAGAAGUCUUCAAGGACGUCUUACUUUUAUUCGACGAUUUAUUUCAAAUCUUGUAGGACGAUGUCAAUCCUUCAACCAACUUAUGAAGAAAGAUGUCCCAUUUGUUUGGGACAAAGCUUGUCAUAAUCCCUUUGAGAGAAUAAAAAAGUAUUUGGCUAAUCCACCAAUCUUAGGUGCUCUUAUGGCAGGGAAGCCAUUGAUACUCUACAUUGCCGCACAAAAAUGCUCUCUUGGAGCAUUGUUUGCACAACAAAACGAGGAGAACAAAGAAAAUACAUUGUAUUACUUAAGUCAAACUCUAAUGGGAUCAGAACUAAAUUACUCCCUAAUAGAGAAAACUUGUCUUGCUUUAAUCUUCUCGACAAAAAAGCUAAUACAUUACAUGCAGGCAUACACAGUACACUUAAUAGCACACGUUGAUCCCAUUAAGUAUGUGCUAUCAAAGCCAGUUAUUUCAAGACGAUUAGCAAGAUGGGGGUUGUUACUCACUGAGUAUGAAAUAAUCUACAUUCCUUAAAAGGUAAUCAAAGGACAACGCAGACUUCUUGGCAGAUCAUCCUAUCCUUGCAACAUGAAAAAUUUUAGAUGACUUCCCCGAUGAGGAGAUCUUUUAUGUUGAUGUUUUUCCUUCGUGAAUGAUGUUCAGGUCAGCACGUUAUGAUGGAACAGGUGCAGAUGUUGUAUUUGUCUCACAACAAAGAUAGAUACUACCAUAUUCAUUUGUUCUUAGUGAGAGAUGCUCUAACAACGUUGCUAAAUACCAAGCCUUAAUUAUUGAACUACAAAUAGCGAUUGAAAUGAAAAUCACAAGCUUAGAGAUAUGUGGGGAUUCUAAGUUGGUAAUCAAUCAACUUCUAGCCUUGUAUAAGGUUAAAAGUGAUGACUUAGUUCCUUACUUCCAAUAUGCUACCCAACUGAUGGAAAAGUUUGAGCGAACCUCUUUAGUUCAUAUUCCAUGAAAGAAAACUAAAUGGCAGAUGCUCUAGCUAAUCUAGUUGCAAGUUUGACACUGCUUAAGGACGAGACUAUACACAUCACUCUUUGCCAUAAGUGGGUACUGCCGCCAUUGCCACUAUUACAACAAGAAGAAGUAAACGCUACAUCGGUAUUUACUAUUGACAACGAAGAUUGGCGACAACCAUUAAUUGACUACUUAGAGCAUGUGAAGUUACUUGAUGAACUAAGGCAUUGAACAUAAAUACGACAUUGAGCUCCAUACUUCAUUUACUACAAAGAAACACUUUAUCGAUGCUCAUUCCAUGGAGUACUUCUUCGAUGCCUAGAAGGAGAAGAGACAAAUCAAGCAAUUGAAGAAGCUCAUUCUGAGAUCUAUAGGGCUCACCAAUCAGGGCCAAAACUUCAUUUUCGAAUCAAAAGGAUGGGAUACUAUUGGCCAACUAUGGUUAAGGAUUGUAUGGAAUAUGAAAAGAAGUGUCAAUCAUGCCAAUUCCACUCAAAUUUUAUACACAACCCCUUGAGCCACUCCAUCCUACAAUUGCGUCAUUGUAGACCCUCAAUUUUGUCCCUUUAGCACAUGUCUUUAAGUUCGUUUUCAGUGCUUCAAAAUAGUUCCUUGGUGGCCCAUGGCUACUCAUACCACUUACCUUUUUCUGAGUCACCUCGGAGAUUUUGGUGGAGGAAUUAUUUGAUCCUUUAUUGUGACCCUUGGCAGCCCUAACUUAGACUUAGACUUUUCUUGUUUUUUUUUUUUUUUUUUUAGGAUAGCUUUUAGAUACAUUUGGCCCAUUUGGACAUUUUUAGCGUGACUUGUAUGACUUGCAUGGUUACAUGGCUUUUGGGCUCGACUUUUUGUUUAUUGGUUUAUUUUUAUUUUAUUUCAUUUUAUUUAUUUUUACCGUUUCCUAAUUUAUUUACUUGCUUAUUUAUUCAUUCAAUGAUUUAACUUCAAGAUUUUCAUGUUUUUGCAAGGAAACUUACCAUUGGAGUUUAAGGAAGGUGGGACUCUCCUUGGAAGGUUUUGGAGGGGAAUUUGAAAUUGAGAAGAUUGCUUUUGAUUGGAAGAUUUAAAAAAAGGAAGAAAAGAAGAAAGGAAAUAGGAGAAUUUUCCUUUUUGGAAAGAAAUUUAGGUCUUGAGGGGUGAUAUAUAUAGGUGAGAAAAGGAAAAGAGGGGGAAGGAUUUUUUUUGGGGGUAGAGCACGCGUUGGAGGAUUGGGAGGAGAUUUGAGGAGGUUCUUUUUGGAGCAGCAGGCAUUGGAGGAAAAUUUGUCGGGGAAAAGAACAGAGGAAACGAAAAGAGCAAUUGCAACCAAGGCUGUCCAGGUAUGCACCUCGUUGCUUUUGGAAUUCUGACCUAUGUUUGAUUUUUUUCCACGUGAAUAUUUAAUGGUAUUGUUGAUUUUGUGUGGACGAAAGGGGCCACAAUUUGUUUUGUUGAGAUUGGUUGCUUGCUUGUUUGCCUUGUUUUGGUUUUGAUUGUCAUUGAUGUCUUCGGAAGCAUAUAACUCCAUGCCUGAAUGUGAUCAGAUUCUGUUCUUCAUUUAAAUCAUAUUCUGCAUUUGUCUCUCUGUUUUUAGCCCAUGGAUUAAUAUCUGAAGUGGGGGCUAUCCAUGUUUACUGAUCAACACCUUCUGCCAUUUCCUUCUCCAAGUUUUACUUCAAUUUUUUUUAUCUUUUAUCUGUAUUCUUUUCCUCGCAUGGUGUUCGAACCCUUGCUCUUGUAUUUGGGUAUACGUCGAGGAAUGAUGUAAGUGUCAAUAUGAGGGAUGAACUGUGCAACAAUCCCACUCAAAAAUAAUUGAUUCCGAGGUAUUGUAAUGGAUUGUGGAGACUGGAGGUAACGUCUUAUUGGCAUCAGAUUUGACCUUUCUAAUCCUAUGGGAUUCAAUGGCUCGUACAGAAUCGCAACUCCGGUGUUAUUUGCAAGCAUAGCUAAAUGGGUUAAAGCCAAGCUAAUAUUUUCUCUUGCUUCCGAAUGAUCGCGUUAUCAUUGGCCAACAUCACUUCUACCCUUUCCAAUUUUCCAAGCGCUUCUGACCGUAAGAAUAAUGGUCUCAGAGAAAGCAAUUUGACUUGUAAAACAGAGGGUUUCAGAGAGUGUCAGGAAGGUGAUUGAUUUGGGUAGCACUGAAAAAGGAUGGUUUGAACUAGGGUUUUGAAUCACGCCUUGAGUUAUUAGAGCAGUACGAAGAAUUGCGGGAUACCAGUGAUGGAUUGAUGGGUUCGGUGCCGAUUCUGGGUCGUAUUACAGAUUUGGGGCAGAGACGAUUGGUGAUGGCAAUGGGAUUAAUGCAAAUCAGGGAGAUGCUAUUUUUGAGGAAACGUAGUUCACGGGUUUUAGGAAUGUAGUUUCAGAAUUUUCAGAGAUUCUUGAUGUAUUGUGUUAGAAUAUUCUGAAACAGUUUCAGUAUACCGAAGGAUCCAAUACGGGCUUAGCAAUUACUAUAAGGAACAGAAAGAAGGAAAUUGAUGCGACUUCUGCGAACAAGUAAGUUCCAGAUACUUCGGUUGGAAGAACCUUCUCAAUAAGGUGAUCAAUCAGAGGAGGUAUCUUGCACAGUAGACCUUUCUGAUUCUUUAUGUUAUCAACUUGAUCUUGUCUCUUUUGUCGCAUAUGUCAAUUCUGCUCAUUUAUGGAAUUCAAAAUCCUCAUUGUUGUUGCCUGAAAAAGAAAUUACGGCAAUUGGAGAAGACAAUCAGUCUGACCCUUUUUGUUGAAAAUUUUGUUUUGGAAAGAUUUUCUAUUUAAACCUCCCUGCGGGUACUAUUCGAUGAAGUCUUUGGUAAUAAAUUUCAGGAUGCUAUUGAAUUGAUAAGUAUGUAGCCAGUUGCUUCUAAUUUAGCAGCCUGGAAGAGAAUGCGAGUUGUUGAAUUCAUGCACAUGCGAUAUGCUCUGGAAUCUGUGGUGCUUGCAGUUGGAGCUAUGGAAAGAAGUACAUCUUAUCAUCUACUAUUGGUGAGAGAUAUAUUGUUCUUGCAAUGAAGCACCCUGCUGUCUUCUUAGAUAGCAGGUACAUUGACAAUGGGGAUAAGGAUAAGAAGACUUAUACGUCUUCUUAGAAUAUGGAGGAUUCACUCAAUACAAAAGUCACUCUUUUCGUCUCUGGAAUUGAGAAACCACAGUUUAGAGGAUGGAAUUAAAGUUUUUAUGCCCCAAGUUGCAGUAGCAGUUCUGGUAAUACUCAAACUCAGAGCAUCACGGGGUAUGACAGGAUGGCUGGAAUGGUGAUUGGAAGGCUCCUGGCGUCCAGAGAUUCCCUAAGUAGCAGUGGAAGUUUACUACUGGUGUAGCCAUGAUUGAAGUUACAGCUCCAUGUGUAUAUGCUAUCAAAAGAAGAAGGAUACGAGACUCUGAUUUUCCAUACCACUGGAAUGGGUGGAAGGGCUAUGGAGGAUCUGAUCAGAAGGGGAUUUAUACGAUGUGUUCUGGACAUAACAACAACAGAGGUUGCUGAUUAUGUAGUUGGAGGUGUUAUGGCUUGUGACAAUUCCCACCUUGACGUCAUGAAGAUAAGAAAUUUGUCGGCUUUGUAGCAAACGAACUAAACGAAACAGCAUCAAAGGUAAUGUUGACCCGAAUGAUUAGGCUCAUAUUCAGAAAGACAGAAUUUGAUCCAGACUCGAUUUCCUCUGGUUCUGCUACAAAUAAAGAAGUUGAAUUUCUGGACUGCACAAGGACCUUUUAGUUCUGAUUUUUCUUUAGGUGCCAAUCUUACCACAAUGGAAGAUGUCCAGAAUAGUUUUAAUGCAACGCAACUUAGGCUUUGUGGAAGGUUAAGCAAUGUUGAUGGCUAUAUAAUGCCGAUCAUCUUCCCAAGUGUUAUUCUCUGUGGCUGAGUUGUUUUCUGAAGCUGAAACAUAAAGACCCUCUCAAUAAGGCCGCCUCUAUGAAUCUUGCUCAGCAUGCACUGAUCAGCAAUUUCUGGUGAGAUCUCAGCCAGUUCCAGCUGAUAAGCAGGUGAACCAGGCAGGAAGGACCAAUUGGCAAACACUCUUGGGCUUUCCUGGUGGGCAUGAAACCCAGAAUUGCAAUGGGGUAGUUCAGAAUCUGAAUCUAGUUCGACUUGGAGGUCUGAGUCAGACAUUAUAUAAUUAGGAUGGCAAAGAAGACUCCUUACCUACAGCGGCCCAAAUUUAUUAAGUCGUCCUUUGACACUAAAGAGAUCACCGGUUUGCCCUUGAUAAAUUAAUGUCAUCAUGAGCAGAUUUUGUUCCUAUUCUUUAGCUGAGAAUCAAAUGCAUCACACCAUCGAACAGUUGAAAUCUUUGAGUAGGAGCAGAGAAUGAUGCAGAACAGAGAAAACAAUGACCCAGGUCCAACAGGUCUCAUGAGGUUUGAUGGUGAGAUCCGUUCAGCAAUGUUGGGAAGCAACUGGAAAUAUGGGCCUCAUGCUGCUGCAACUCACUUAGACUACAUGGUUGAGUUUACAGUCACUGUGCCAAUUUUGAGUCUUGCUGGAACAAUGGAUAACUUACCAGCUGGUGAACCAUGGCUGCAGAAACUAAAAGCGGAUUGAGCAGGAUGCAACUACUCUCAUUCCAGGAAACAAAGAACUGAAACCACACGAGUAGGACCCUUUGAACAAAAAUGCUGGUAUCAAUACACAUCCUACGUGCCCAUCUAUUAUUCAAUCCAAUUCUGAAGUCCCAGUCAUGUCACCUAGAAAAAGCAAAGGAGAAAUUCAAAGGGAACCCUUGGGCUUGAAAGGAAAGGUUCUUAGUCUUGGAAAGGUUCAGAAAAGCCGGAAGGUGUAGAAAGAAUUCAAGCAGCCACAGAAGGCUUCCUCCAAGCUGAUAGUACCACCUAGCACAGGUUUCGGUACCUUAACCUAUGGAUAUAGUUUGCUCUUGAGAGCGUUCCAUACAUUCGAAACGGCAUCAAUAAGUCACUACUUUUGGAUCAGCACUUGGAACUGGAUCUUAGUACUGUCAUGCUUGGCUGUUGCUUUUGGUUUUAGAAACAUGAACUGCUUAGGUAACGCAUCUGGCUUGGCAGUUAUAAUUAUAAUGUCAGUCACCACCUGCCUAAUGUCUCUGGUUGCUGUACUGUGCCGACACCAGAAUGUCUCCUCUAUAAUUGGCUCCAUGUUCUUCAUUGGCGUAAUUGAAGCUUUCUAUUUCUCAGCAUGGAUCUCUAAGCCACUCCUGAGCAUGCGUGUAAGAAUGGAUAGCAGGGCAGAUUUUCAGGUUCCUGGUCAGAGUGGAAUAAUGGGACAGCCAAAUGAAGACGAAUUCCCCAUGAACUUCCAAAAAUAGACUUAAUGAUAAGAAGAGAGGUGAAAAAGAAUUCAGUGGCUAUUCGAGAUGACUUUUAUGGAUGAAUUCGGUAGAGAAUUGAAAAGAAUUCAAGUGGUUGCAUAUGUGGGUGAGAUUCAAUAGCGUUAACGGAUACUCUUGAUGGCUGAAAUUUAAAAGAAAUGAUAGACUACAUAAGUGAGGUGAUUGAAUUUUAUAAAUAUGAUUAUGGGUUUUGAAUUACAUCGAGAUCAGCACUUGUUGAGAUUAUCAUAUUUAUGCUGGUAACAUUGCAAUCAUAUACGUUUUCAUCCCAAGAGUUUGAUCAUGCGUCAAAAUAUCUAGAAGCAGAGCAAAUUGAAACCUUUUCAAAAUCAGCAGUGGACAGAUUCUGUCCUAAAACACUUGAAGUUGGAGCAUACUGAGGCAGUUUAGUCUUCUGAAAUCCAUACCUAGUUUCCUGAUGAUUCAAGUUCUUUAUUUGACUUUUCCUUUAUAGAGAAAGCUCCUAGUGGCAUUGACCAGCCAGGAAUUCACCAUAUGCUUCAUCAACAAUAAUGUGCAAUUCAGGAAAAACGAGGUUGGAUGGUCAGAAGAAGACUUUGAAACUAGUUCAGGAUCUCAAUCUAGUGAAUCUGAUUUCUCCAGUUUCAGUCCAGAUGAGCUUCUGCAGUUAAUUGGUGAUGCAUCAGUUAUGGGAAAGGUCCUUCAUCAACUAGCACUUCACCUUUAUAAGAAUCCAUCAUGAUUCUCAGCACUUGCUGUUGUCUAUUUUCUGACAUGUAUUAAGCAAAGAUUGGUCUGAAGAGAGAUAAUACAUCCUCUAUCUAGUACACAGAUUCAGACGCUGAAUUCCGUGAUUAUGUUAGUGAGGUCACGAGGGAAGUGUGUAGGCAUCACUAUGCAAAGUGCCUUGAAGUUGUAUCAAUUCGUUUGCUGGAUAAUCGCCCACAAAUUAGCAAAAAUCAUCUUUCAAAAUAUAUGAAGUAUCCUACGUUUAUAGGAGAGCAAUUGAUCAUUCAACACCAAAUUGUUAUCUUCAGGGAAAUGUUGAUAUGAUUGGAGGUGCAAUAGCAUUGACUUGAGAUAGUCAACAGUAUGUGAUCACAGAGUUAGGAUAUUACAACAAGAAGAGUCCAAUGGGCUUAAAUCUUUUUGACAGAAAUUCUCAUCUAUCUUGGACUUUAAGCUAGCGUCUGAUGAAAAACAUCAGAAUCUUCACCCUAUUCUAUGAUAGAUGCAUGCAUUGCAGUAUGCUCGAGAUCAUUGUAGGCCUUUAUCCGAGAAGAAACAGAAUAGAGUGAACCAGGUGUUGAAUAAAGCCCGUGAUGAUGCUGAAAGUAGUGCCUAGAAGAACUCGUUAGAAAGUAACAAAGGCAAUGUCCUCUUUCCUCUCCUCUGAUGUGCCUUCUCCUGUUUGGAGUAUACCAAUAAUUCGGAAACUGCACUCUUUAUCUGUGACUUUACUUGAUGGAAACAAAGGGCAAGAUGGGAAGCCUCACAAGGAAGAGAAGCCUCAAAGUCUAUAUGAGAAUUUAGAAGAUUCUUUUGCCACAAAGGCAGCAGAAGAAAUAUGCUUGCAACAGAAAGAACUUAGGGUAUUUGAAAUUUCUGGAUUGGUGCUGCUCAAUGAGAAUAUACAGAAAAUCAAUCCAAAUGAACCACUAAAAGAAGAAUGCACUACUCUAGGUGAAGUAUCAUGGUUAGAGAAUCACAGAAACGCGUCUGCAAUAAAACGCUCAGAUUCUCCAAUAGAAAGUGACAGAACCAUGAAGCUGCCAGUAGAGGUGCCUGAGGGAGCUGAGGAACCUGCAGAAGAGUAUGAAAACAACAAAGAACUGAUCAUAGAGAAAGAGAGAGACAUCAAGGAAUUUCCAGCCGUGUCCAUUGAAGUUGAAUAGGUUAAAUAGGAACGGCAUUCUGAGACAAUACUCGCUGAAAAUCCUAGAAUGACAGAUUCUGAAGUGCAGACUAAAAAUGUGAACCUAUAGGAUUGUGGAAGACUUCAGCAAAGACUCUAAAAGAUUUCCCAUCACAAAAGCAAUGGAAGCAGAGAUGCUACAGAAACAGAGUGGUAAAAGGAAAGUGGAUGUCUCUGGUUCGGUAUCUGAAAUAUCAAAAGAAAUUAAUAAGGAGGUCAUAGAAGAUGCCAGCACUUGCUCUAACAAUAUUGAUGCUGCAUCCGAAGAGGGGAAAACAGAAGAGUCAAGCUUGUAGGAAACUCAACUGAAUGACAAAUACAAAAAGAUCAUUAAGACUAGCUCAGAAGAUAAGACACUAUAAGCAAAUACCACAAAUGAAACUAGUCCACAGGCUGAAGAGGUUGACAGCAUGAAGCUUGAAGAAACUUUUGAAUUGAUGUCUCAACUUCCAGUUAAGGCAUGUGAGAACACAAACAAGGAGAGUGAAACAGUGGAAAGGUCGAUUGAUAAUGUGCUGAAGAAACCGAUUAAAUCUUCUGGUAUAGUAUCAGAAUCCCAAGAACAAUGUGCUGAAGAAACUGAUUAGACCCUUAAGCUCUUCUCUAGCAGGGUCUUUGAUAUCAAAUGCCUGUCAGAACCCCCAUUCAGUAAACUGCUUCAAUUUGAGCUCAGGAAUCCAAGGAAGACACGGAUAAGGGAAAGUUGAUUACGCCAGAAUCUGUAUUUCUCAAGAGCAACUCAAGUUUACUGGAACUCUUCACCCUUCAUUGGAAUUCAAUAAAACUUUGAACAACAGAGAGCCACAGAAAAGUACUAAAGGAGGGCAGAAUGUAUUUUGGGAUUCAACAUCAGCAGGAUAGUCUCAAAUCUUAUUCCCAGGCUCCACUCCAUCAUGGCAACCUUGCUAUACACACCCUCUCCUCUAUUUACUUUUGUGAUUGGGAACUUACUAUUUUAAGUUGAAUUUUUGAACCAUUGUUCAACUAAACAUUCCCAGCUUUGAAAAAUCCAUCUUAGGAGCAUCUAGGUAUAAAAUCCCAAUUUUAACAUGCUAUUUGCUGCCAUUUUCCUCCGGGCAUGCACUUUCACUAUUUUAUCCGAUUUUUAACUAUUUUCAUGAUUUUCUCGAUUUUCUCAAGCAUGAACAAACUUCAUGAUUCCAAACAAUGGAAUUAAUAGAAUAAAUUCAUGCAAAAGUAAUCAGGGCAUUGGGGGGAGGCCCGACAUUCAUAAUAUUCUCUUCAAUAGUGUCUUGUUUGAUAUUUGAUUGAUUGUGCUUCCUCUUUGUGGUAUAUAUGAGAUUAUUUUGAAUUAGUUGUUGAGUUAAUUUUGUUUCCCAUAGAGGAUUAUUAACUCGCUAAUCAGGUACGCUCUUUCUACCACCACACUUUCCAAAAUUUCAUGAAUAUGAGACAUAACCAUAUUUGAUGCCAUAAUUGAUUGCUUUGAUGCUUGUUGGAUCGUCUUUGAUGAAAAUACAUAUUAUGUGUCAUAUUUCCAAACUAAUCUCUCAUGUUUUGUGAUAGUGUUUGAGAAGCCGUUCAGGUACGCACUUCGACUCUCUCUUAUGGUUGGUUUUCUUAUUAGGCAUGCAAUAUUUGAAAUCACCUAGCCUACUCAGGUAUCCAUAAUUAACUGAUUAAUGGCCACGCUUCCCUUAACUUAGUCAGUAGAGACCUCUUUAGGGCUUAGAGGGGUGCUACCUCCUAGAGGUACCUUCCCAAUAAGUAACCUGAUCCCCGAACCAAGACUUGGGUUUUCAAAGACACGCUUUUCCAAAAAUUAUGGAGUCAUUUUUUUAGGGUUUUAUUUCUUGUUUUAUUUUCCCUUCAAAAAUAAAAAUAAAAUAAGUGGCGACUCCAACUUUUUCAAAAAUCAAUUUUUCACAAUAAAAAGCGAGUCUCGUCGAUCGAGUGGGGACGCACGUGAAAAAUGCGGGUCCACAGUCAUGGCCAUUUGAUGCAUGGGGACUUGACGUGGUCAGACCCAUUACUCUUAAAUCCUUUGUUGGACAUGCUUACAUAUUGCAGCAACAUAUUAUUUUUCUAAAUGGGCAAAAGUUGUUCCACUUAAAGAAGUGAAUAAAGAAAAUGUAGUGAACUUCAUUCGAAGUAAUAUUAUCUAUCGGUAUAGGGUACCAUGAUAUAUAAUCACUGACAAUGGGAAACCCUUCUAUAGCAAAUUGAUGAUCAAUCUUUGUGAGAGGUUUAGUUUCAAACAACACAAUUCAUCAAUGUACAAUGCACCGACCAAUGGUCUCACAGAAGCAUUCAACAAGACUCUUUGCAACUUAUUGAAGAAAAUUGUUGAUAAUUCAAAGAGGGAUUGACAUGAAUGAGUAGGAGAAGCACUUUAGGCAUAUCAAACAACAUAUCGAACGCCUACACAAGCAACCCUUUAUUCCCUUGUUUAUGGUGUAGAAGUUGUAUUGCCCCUUGAGCGUCAGAUCCUUUCAUUAAGGAUUUCUAUACAUGAAGGACUAACUAAUGAAGAUAAUGCCAAGUUACAUCUUCAAGAGUUAGAAGCACUAGACGAAAAGUGACUCGAAGCCCAACAACACUUAGAGUAUUAUCAAGCACACCUUUCAAAAGCUUUAAAAAAAAAAGGUUUGUCUUCGGUCUUUUCAAGUCGGUGAUCUAGUUCUUGCCAUUCGUAGACCCAUUAUCACCACACAUAAGACUAGGAGUAAAUUUACAUCAAAAUGGGAUGGACCUUAUGUGGUGCAAGAAGUCUACACCAAUGGUGCUUAUAAGAUCGUCACUGAAGACGGAUUAAGAAUUGGCCCUAUCAAUGGAAAAUUCUUAAAGCGUUAUUAUGCUUGAGUCACACUACACCCUUAGCUUGCAUGAGCAUAAAUUAUGUCUGGAGCACCAAAAAAAAAAUAAAAAAAUCCGCUAAGUCGAAAACCUAAAAGGACGCCUUAGGUAAAAAUUAGGACAUAUGCUCACAAGAUUAAAAUUUUCUUUUAGCCUUGGCAAAAGUUAGAGCAUGAAAAAAAAAGGUGCUGCAUUUGACUUGAUCCUCUCUCUUUGAAAGGUAUGUAAGCAACUUGGGGAAACCACCUAAGUUCACUCACUACCAAAAAAAAAAAAAAAGGUCUCAUUUUUAUUAAUAAAUAAAUCUGACUAACAAAUGCUAGACUUUAUUACAUCUUAAUAAAAAAAAAUGAAUGAAAGCAAAAAAAAAAAGGGAGCCAAAACUAAGUAAAAAGGUACAAUGAUCACAUCCACACCAAGCAUGCAAGCUCGUCACGUUGAGUCCUUAAGGCUUCUUGAAGUGUCUCUAAAGUUUUGACAUCAACAUCAGUAAGCACAAGGGUUUGGGCGAUAAUGACAUGUUAUUUCCUCAAACGAGAAACAUCAUUAUGUUUAUUGGCUAUAAUCUCAUCAAUCUCCAAGAUUAAGUUAUGAAUGUGCUCUUUUUGUUUACCUAGUUGCUUAAAUUCCUUCUUAAGUGCUUCCUAUUUAGCAUCGAGAGUAGCUAAGUCUACCUUUAAUGAUUGACGAUGGUUUUCCUAUAUACACUUAGAGUUUAAAGCAUCCACAAUCUGAGAUGCAAUAAUAGCUAAACGUUCGCUUUGUACUUCUAGAGAUAUAUUUAUAGAAUGGGUGCGUCACAUUGCAUUGAGGUGAUCUACACUUUCCAUGUACUUCUCAAUCUGAGACUUUAAUGGUGAAGGGUUCACUCCAAUCUUUGUGAUAACAUUGAAAAGCUCAUCAAUUUUUCCUCUUAAUAAUGGGAGACAUUUAUUUGGAAAUUUUAAUAAUCAUCACCUUAGUGCCUUCUCCUAUCAUAAGUGCUUCUUGGCGUUAGGCAUUAAGGAUGAUUUGUUUGACGUCGAAUGUGUGAAUGGAAGUAGAAGGAGCAACCACGGUAGGACAUGUAGAUUGUUGUUCAGUAAUUAAACCUAUAAAUGCUAAAAUUGUUAAUUCAUCAUAUGUUGUAUCUCUAAUUGUGGUCUUUUGACCUCGAGAUUCAAUCAGAACAUCACUUAAGAUGUUAGUAAUACCUUUAUCACCCAAAUAAGAAUGAGACAAAGGUAAUGGGAUGAUAGAGUGAUUAUCUUGUUGUAUGGUCAAGGUAAAGGGUGCUGACUCCCUAAUAGCAAUAGUACUUUCGAACUGAUCCUUAGGAGAGGACUCAUCCCCUUCAUUGACAAAUUGGUUGUCACCCGCCACCUAAGGCAAAUAAUUAUUUUUGUUAGUAUCAAUGCAAAAAAAAAAAAAAAAAAACCUUUUCACCAUCAAGUUCCAUCGCUUGAGUAGAAGUUAGGACGUCAGCAAAGAAGACAUUUACAUCAAGAUGAUAAGAGUUAGUCUCAUCAUAGUACAUAGGGUUGGGUCUAAUUUUUUUCCAUUUGAAGUAACAUUCACUUGUAUCUUCAAAGUUUUUGUUUGAUACAUAAAGACCCUGUGCAUUGUUAUGUUGCUUAAAAGUCUUGUGACAGUGAGUAUUACCACCGUUGAAAAUAGUUUCCUCAUGCUCUGAGUGUGUGGAGGUAUUAGUUUGAUGUCCACCCAUUGAGCGCUUAGAAGAAGCUCUUGAAUCAUCAGGUAAAUCAUCAAAAUCCUUCUCAACAUUGUCUCUAAUAUUCCCCUUAGUAGAAACACUUAAGUCAACCUUGCGCGUUCUACUCUCUAAAGAUCUAGAGGGUAUUUGCCAAGAAGAAUUAGGAGGGGGCUCCAUACAAGUAGUAGUAAGAAUUUCUUUAUCAGGAUUACGUACUCUGAUCCACCAAUCCGCAUAAGCCAAUCUGGUAUAGUAACUUUGGAGUAGGUACCAAGCCUAGUACAUGACUGCCAAUGUUGAUACACCGCCUUUAAAGUUCUAGUGUGAAAAAUCUCUAGCGAACUCUCCGGAAGGUCUUGAAGAUAUACAAACUGCCUAGAAAACCGAUGAGGAUAAUACAGUUGGAUUACCCAAUGAUUACCUUGUCGCAAAGAUAAAUAGUUAGAGUGAAGACUUAUGAGAUAAGAAGCUUUGGUAACACUAAUAGAUUCAUUAUCAGUCCAGUGCACAUGCCUCUUGUGGCGCAAUGCCAAGUGGUCUAGCUUUACGCCUUUGCAAGACAUUAUCAAAGCCUAAGCUUGCAAAUCAUCAAAACACUUAACAAAAAACUCGCCAGUGUAAUAAGUCAUCCGUGGGGGAUGGCUCCAAGAAGGAGAAAUGAAAUGGGUAUCGAAAUAUUCAUUUAACCAUCCGUAUAAGUAAUGAAUAGGGAAAAUAGAUGCAUUAGUCCCAGGCUUUGAAGAAUAAGUGAUUUUAUUUAAGCUGUUGUAAAUACUUCCUAACACCAAAACAACAAGGCUAAAUGUCUCACCUUGAGCCAUUUUACUAGCUACCUUGAAGACUUUAGGAUGAAUCAAAUUGACACCUCCCAAGGAAGAACGAACUUGUAUAACCAACAUGCUAAGAAAGCGCCUAAGUAUCCUUCACAUCUGCCUCAGCUAUGCCAAGGUUGUAAAAAAUUUCCAUCUCUGACUGAAUACGAGAUUUAAUAGGAUCAAUUUCCCCAGAGGGGUUAUGAGUCUCCUUAGGCCUUUACGCCUUAUUCCUUGUACUUUUAUUUGGAAGUUUUGCAUACUUCAUGGAGCCUUUAUACCAAAAUGACACCCAAGAGGCUAACUUGACUGAAGACUUCCCUUUCGUGUUAGAGCAAAUUCGAUGAUAUGCAAGGAAUAAGUUUUGACAACUUGGUGGGAGUGAGGGCUUUGUCACAUCAUUAGAUAACUCUUCCAUGCUCGGUACCAUCUCAUCAUAAAAAGAUCCAAUGAUGGGUAGUCCAACAAUAUGAUACAAGUCCCAAAGAGAGAUGGAAACCUCUCUAAUGGAAGUAUGCAAGGUGUUAGUGGUAGGACACCAACGUUCACAAAAGGCCCUAAUCACAGAGGCAUGACAAUCAUAGCUGAAUAAGGACGCAAAAAUAGCUUCAUAAAGCUUACAUCCUUUAAGAAAUGGUCCAUGCCGGUCCAAUACCUCCUCUACCCAUUCCCAAUAUCCUUCGAUAAAGAAAUAUUCCCUUAGUACUUUGAAUGAACUUCCCCAUUUAGCUUCUCCGUCAUGAACACAAGAACCAAACUAUCCAAAUUCAUCAUGAACUUUAGUAGUAGUUGGGUGAGAGGAAUUCAACAACAGAACAUCAGAAACAAGUUUCACCUUAUUGAGUUUUGAAUUGCCGAUAUUUGUAAGCUUGCAAGAUGCAACUCGGGACAAGGAAGAAAUGUGUAAUGGGUCCUUUGUCACUGGUACUGACAAAGAUUGAAGGUCAGUAAGUGACUUAUGCACUGACAAGGUAGUCCCCUCCUCAAAAUCUUCACUAUCAUCCUCAAGAAUAGUUACAAUCUUCUAUUUGAAACAUUUGAAGAACGCCAUCCUACAUAAAAAGGAAAAAGAAGGUAGAGAGAGAGAUAAAUAAAACAUGGGUAUAAGUUUUUAGAUACCACUAUGCAUUUAAGUCAGAUCAAUUCACAUGAGUGAAGACCUUAGCACUUAAGUCAUAUAAAGUGUUGAAAGUACAAUACCGCAUAGCAUCAGGGCCAUAACUUGUUUGCAUAGAUACCGAGUAUUAUUCUAGUUUUAAUUAAAUGUUAAAACUUGAACACAACUAUGCAUUCAAGUCAAGACAAUUUGCAUAGGUGAAGACUUUAGCACAUAAGUGUUGAAAAUACAACACCGCAUAACAUUAGGGCCAUAACUUGUCUACAUAGAUAACAAGUAUUAUUAUGGUUUUAAUUAAAUAUUAAAACUUGAACACCACUAUGCAUUCAAGUCAAUCCAAUUUGCAUGGGUGAAGACUUUAGCACAUAAGUGCUAAAAAUACGACACCGCUUCGCGUCAAGGCUACGAAUUGAUUACAUGAGGGUCAAACUUUAAAUAUUCAUAUGUUUUUUUAUUUUUUAUUUUUAUUUAUUUUUUAUUUUUUAUUUUAUGGAUAUUUAAGUUUAUUAAAAAUUUCCCUCAAGUACUAAGGUAAUUUAAAAAUAAAUAAAUAAAUAAAAUUAAAUUACCUGAAAUCAAAUUCGUCUCUACGAAUAAUGGAGGCUAACAUGUGUUCGAAAAAGGUGAAUCUUUUUCUUCCUUGACAAAAAAAAAAUGAAUAAAAAGAUCACGUGUCAACAUAUAUAUAUAUAUAUCCAUCCAUUUUUUCAGGAGAUCACGUGAAUGGAUUUUAUAUAUAUAUACAUAUAUUAAAUCCUCAUCCUUACAUCAAUAUAUAGAUAUAUAGCCUAGUGAUGACGUCUCCCAAGGCAACCAACAUUGAGGCUCUGUCCCCAUUGACUUCGACAUACACCCACCAAGCUCCAAAAUAUAUAUAUGCAUUUAAAAAAAAAAUACUUACAGGUUUGAAGAGGUGAAGACUUCUUACGGUAAUUCAAGUCAAGUUUCUUAAAAUUGGGUUGAAAAUCACCCAAAAAUUCAAAAAAAAUAAAAGAAUAUGAAAGGAUUCAAGUCGGGUUUCUCAAGUUGGGUCAAAGAACACUCAAAGAUCAAAAAAGCUCUUUGAAAAAGUUCAAGUCAAAUUUCUUAGCUAUUGUCCCUUUUAUAUAUAAAAAAAACGUAUAUGGGGAUGACAAAUUGGAAGAUGAUUGAAAGUGUAAAGUAAGAAGGAAAACAAAUUGGAAGAGGAUUCAAAGUGUAAAGCAAAAAAGGAAAACAAAGUGGAGUUUGGAAAAAAGUGGGAAAGAAAUAUUUUUUUUGGAAAAAAAAAAAACUUCAAGACUCACCCCAUCCACAUGACAAUGCAUAUAUGUGAUGCGUCUUGAAGUGGGGGUAUUUGUAGACAUAAAAAAAAUUAGUGGAUUAAAUUACCACUAAUUUUGUUUUCAAAAUGAAUAAAAAAAAUCCUCUUAUGGAUAAGUUUCUCUAAUCUCCAACUAUAGAAAGGAUAAUAAUAACAAUAAAAAAACUAUUAUUAUUAUUAUUAUUAUUAUUAUUAUUAUUAUUAUUAUCUUGUUGGUAAAACCUUCCAGGAUUUUUUUUUUCUAAAAUCAAGGAACUAAAUCCUUUAAAUUAAGCAACUAAACUCUGAGAAUUUGAAAUUCAAAUUUUAUAUCUUCACCUAUAAAUAGAGGUGUCUUUUUUCAAGAAAGGAGGGGAAGAAAUCGAGAAAAAAAAAUCCAGAAAGGAAAAUCUUAAGGAGGAAAUCCAAAGGAAACUUUGUAUGGGAAAAGGGGCUUCACAACAAAAGAAAAAGCUUCAUCAAAUUUCUCUGCAAGUUCGGUACAUGGUAGAACUGCUAAACACGCUCACCGCUAUUUAACGAGUUCAUUAAGGAAUAAGCCACUUGUGGCCCUCAAUUGAUCUUCGAAAUUAAGAAAAUGUCAUCGUUGUUUUCCAAAGUGUGAUCAAGAUGAAAGAAUCAGAGGGAUAAUAUUUUUUUGGAAAUAAUAUUAUUUUUGAGAUUGUACCCACAAUAUUUUUAAUUUUAAUAAAUAUUUUGUUUGCAUUAUUUUCCUAUUUGUUUUGCUAAUUUUGUAGGACCAUUUACGAAAUUUAUGUGUACAUACUCUUUUAUGAACAAGGUAGUGUAGAAAAAGUGUAACACUUUUUUUUUUAACUCAGGUAACUCAAGUAAUAUAUCAUUUCUACCAUAGUGAAUCCAUUCUUCUUCUUUAGCGUAUAAAAAGUGACUCCGUUCUUCUUUAGCACAUUAACUUGAAUACGCAACUCAAGUAAUAUAUCAUUUCUACCAUAGUACUUUUAGCAUUUUAGUGGUAUUUUUUUUCUCAUAAAAAUGUGUACCCUUUGAAUAAGCAACCUUUGAGGUGCACAACUUAAUGUUUUAAGAGGGUGCACUAUUUUUUCCUAGCGCAUUUGAAAUGUGUACAACUUCACUAUGCAAAAAAACAUUAUUUUUUAAUAAAAUUAAGAUCAAAUUAAUAUAAAUGAUUAAAUACAAUUUUUAUGAAAAAAAUAUAUUUUAUUUUUUAUUUAUAUAAAUAAAAAUAAAAAAUUUAAUAAAACAAAAUAUUAGAGCCACAACCAAUUUUCUAUCUUAUAUAAUUAAAAAUAUUAAACAUUUUAACCAAGAAGAAAAUUAAAAUUGUGAUCAAGUUACAUCCAUAAGCAAAAAGUUAAAAUAGUGAUUAUCGACUCUAACUUUCACAUAAAAAUUUAACAAUUUUUUAAAAAUAUAAACAAUAAAAUAAUAUGACAAUGUAAUAGGAUUAUAAAAUAAAUAGAUAUUUUAUUUAGGAGGAAUAUAGAAAAUCUUAUGUCCUAAGCUUCUAAAUUUGUUCAUAAUGAAUUUAUUUUUAUAUUAAAUUUGUUUUCAUUAAUUAUUUCUUAUAUAUUUUUAUUUUGUGUCUAGAAUAUCCAUAAAUAAUUGAAAUCGGUAAAUGUAAAAGAAGAAAUAAUGAAAAAAUAAAAUUAAAAAGAUUUCAUGAAGUCAACACAUUAGAAAAUAAGAACAGAAAGGUAGAGAUAUUACGAAGGAGAGGAAAAAGAAAAAAGAAAAAUCAUAUGACAUGGUUGUCAUAUUAAAGUAAAAAGAAAAAAAAAUAAAAUUUUGUAGUAAUUAACUGUGAAAGGAGAUCGAGGGUUACAGGGUAAUUUUAAAAUUUUGAUGAUUUCACUAUUGAAAUACAUGUUUCUAGAAUUAAUUUUUCCAAGAUGUAUGUACUUUAAAAUUUAAAAUUUAAAACUUUAAAUUUUUUAUAUUUUUUAGUUGUUGCAUGAAUAUUACAUCAUUCUCCAUGAAUAGAAUGUGAUAGGGCAUGGUUUUUAAAUCACUUUUAUAAUAAUUUUUUUAUAAUUAACAAGUUUGGCAAAAGAUAUUCUUAAAUGAUUUAAUUUAUAUUCAAUGCUAGUAGUCAUUUUAAUUGGAUAAACUUUUCAAAAGCAAAUUUGAAGAAUUUGGGUCAAAUGUAAUGUGCAUUUUUGUAGGGCCCUCCCAAUGGACCUCGUAAUGCCAAAACUUCUGGCCUUCAUGUUUUGUCAACUUGUUCACACAAUAAGCUCACGAGCUUUACCUUGCUUUAUCUUGUGAGACUUUGAUAUAUGCUUUGUUUGUAUUAAAGAGGUAAAAAAGUUCUUAACCACCAUUCCAUUUUGCACUAAAAAAAAAUUGAUAUAGACAUGCCAAUUGACUUUGUGUGUCAAAUAUUGUCAUGAUGCAUAUGAGAAAAUAAUGUGUCAUUUGACUCCUUUGAGUCAAAUCUUGCCUUUAAGUACAGAGAAAUAUUUGAGAAAUCGCAAGCAUUUUUUCUUUGUUGUUCAUUAAUAUAUGGAAUAGGUUGACCUUUGAAUUAGUCAAGGACAUGGUAGGUCUUUUGGUCUUAUUUUUACUCAAAUUUAUUUGACUCAAAACUGAAGUAGCAUUAAAAAUGAUACUUCAUGUGGUUGUAAAUUUACAUUUCCUAAGGGUUUUCUUCCCUAUUUGAACCAAAAAUUGAUUUUUAGGGUUAGAGGAACACCUCCCCUACAACAGUCAGACAAACUCCAUUGAGUUCCUCUUCCAUUCAAAGAGUGGGUGUGUUUGUUUCCCAAGAAAAUCUAACCCAUUUUAAGUUCAAAAUAAAUUUUUAUCAAAUUUUUCUUUAGAGCUUGGGUUGAUUCAUUUGGUUCUUCCAAAGAUGAGAACUUUUAACUCAAUGACCCAAUCAAAUUACAUGCAUAAUAACAUGAAAAUCUAGAAACUUAAGUAUUACCGUUUCUAAAUAUGACAACUUUUAAUUCAACAACCCAAUCAAAUAAUCAUGCAUAAUAACGAGAAAAAUCUAAAAACCUAAGAACUACCGUUUCCGAAGAUAUGGACUUUUAAUCUAAUAAACCCAUCAAAUAACAUGCAUAGUAACAAGAGAAUCUAAAACCCCUAAGAACUAACAUUGCCAAUUUAACCCAAUAACCCAAUCAACUAACAUGCAUAAUAACUAGAGAAUAUAAAAAAACCCUAAGAACUAAUCAUUGAAACAUGAAAAUUUUGAUAGUAUGGGAAUAACCUAUAAACCUUAAAAUUAUCAAACUUUGAAAAGUAAGAUUUUUAAUAAAAUAGCAUUCUAACACCAUGAAUGAUAACUAGAAAAUUUAAAACCGAACCAAAAUUUUCAAGAUAAGACUUCUAAGAAAAUAGCAUUUUGAUAACAUGAAUAGUAACUAGAAAAAUUAAAACCUAACCAAAAUGUUCAAGAUGAGACUUUCAAUGAAAUAGAAUUCUAAUAUCAUAAAAUAUGUUCCAAAAAAUUUAAAACCUAACCAAAUUUUUGUAUAACCAACUUUUCAAGAUGGGAAUUUUUAAUAAAGUAACAUUCUAAUAACAUAAGAAGUGUACUUGAAUAUGUCUAAGUAUGUUGUCCUAAAGGAGCACUUAAAAAGAAGCUAUUCUAAAAAGAGAAAAGGAAAAUCCUAGAUCUAACUUGGGGUUUCCAAGGGUCACAAUGAGGGGCUAGAUAAAUCCCUCAACUAGAGUCUUUGAGAUGGCUAAAAAAGGUAAGUUGUGUGAGUUGAAAAUGGGCCACCAGGGAGACUACUGCAAAGUAUGAAAAUAGCACUUAAUAGGGCAUGUGCUAACGUAACAAAUGGAAAGUCUACACUUGCAUGCUAGAUUUAUUCUAAGUUGUGCUCACAUCUAUUUUGCAAGGUUGUUUUAUUCAUCUCAUGGACCCUAAGGAUGAAUGAAUGAAAUGCUUUUAUUAAUUCAAUUGAAUGAAUGAAUAUGAAUGGAUAUGAUCUUUGCCAUUUGAUUCUCUAGUUUGGGUUGUGCACCCCAUGAGGGGUACAAGAUUUUUAUUUUAUUGUAAAAAUAUUUUCUUUUCAAUAGAUGGGUUGUAAGCUCCAUUAUAGGAGCAUAUAAUUUUAUUUUUUAUUUUUUUGAUUGUAAAUUUUUUUUUUUAUCCAUUUAUGGUGACCCAAAAGGAAAGGAAAAAUUCUUAAAUUUUCAUUUUUGAGAUCCUAUGGUGACUUAAGAAAAAAGAAAGAUUCUUGAAAGUUCUUGAUUUGAGAUCCUAAUUUGACUCAAAAUUGGGACAAAUCAUAUAUGGUUUUGAAGCUUAGGAAGUUAGGAAUCCAAUGCUUCAAACAAUUUUCUAUUCGGAGUUGAAAUGAGGAAGAUAUAGUCAAUUGAAGUAAGGUUGUACAAAGAGCAUACUAUUUCAGAAUUAAGUUCGGGCCAAAUUGUUUUUGGUUAUUUGGGCUUCUUUUUUAGCUUUUUUUUUUUUUUUUUUUUUUUUUGUGGAAAUUCGACAUUUUAGGGUUUUGUCAAUUUUUACUAACUAAUCUUUGGUUGUAAGAAUAUUUUGAUAAUUUGAAUUUUGUCCAAUUUUUAAUUACCAAAUAUGCAAUAGGAUCCCUAAAGUUCAUGAGAAAUAUUUAUUUAAUUAUUUCCUUGUUUUUAUUUUAUGUUAUCUUUAUUACUUGCUUAUGUGACCUAAAAUAGGAUAAUUUGGUAUUCUUAAUUAGAUAUAAAUUUUCAUGGGCUUUUUCAAAAUAGGAAAACUUAUUUAAAUUGGAAUGUGUAUUGUUAGGAAAUUUAUUUUAAGAAAAGAUAAGUUAGAAAAGAAUUAAGAGUUUCCAUUCCUUUUAAAAAUUAAUUCUUAAUGAUUUUAAUUUUAUUUAAAAUUUUCUUAGAUCUUUGAGAUCUCUAAGAAUAAAAUCUUUCUUUUAAUGAAAAAACUCUUGUUUUUCCAAAUCUUUAUAAAAUAAUAUUUUUCCUAUUUUGCACAAGGUUUUGAUUUAAAGAAAAUAAGUUGAUUUUGAAAAUUCAUAAUAGAUAAUUUAUAAUUAAGAAGGUUACCAAAAUAAGUAUUCAAACCUAAAGAAAAAUGUUUUGGUAUUCUCUAUAAAUUUUCAUGAAAAGAUUUUUCCAAGAUUAUAUAUUUGAAUUGGUUGUUGCUAAUGAGAAUCUUAUUCAUUUGGAACUAUCAUUUUGAUUUUGGUAUAGAUGCUUCUCCAAGCUACUACACCAUACCUAAGAUGGUCCUUCAGGCUCUCUCCUCCUGAGAUAAGGAGGAAACCCCUAUUUGGAUAUGGAUAGUUCAAAAAUAAAGACUAAGAGAGCAAUUUUGUUUAGCAAACGAGUCUUAGUUUAAAAGAUAAAUAACGGAUUUGAAAAACCUCAUGAUAAGAAGGGUUUUCAAUCUUGUAUGUAGAGGUGUCUAAUGGGUCGUGUUGGGCUGACAUGACCUAAUAUUGAUCGGGCCAUUAGGGGCCAAUGUGUCGGGUUGGGUCGACCCAUGCAAGCCAAAUAGGUGACUCGACACGGCCCAUAAGUCCAUGGGCUAAUCGUGUCAUGCUGGGUCGGGUCGUGCUGUGCCGGUGGGCCAUGGCCCAUGGGCCACUCACUUUGUUAAAAAUUUUAAUUUAAUUUUUUAAGUCAUUUUUUCUUAAGUUUUUUCCUUAUUAAAUAAAUUUUAUUUUUGUUACUUUAAACACCUCUAAUAAUUAUAUUUUUAUUUUAUUUUUUAUAUACUUCUAAUAAUUAUACUUUUUAUUUUUUACAUUUAUAUUUAUUGAGUUUGUAAUUGUAAAAUUUAUAGAAAUAUUAGUUUUUUGUUUUUAAAAAUAGUAAAAAAAAAUUACAUUUGAAUUUGUUUAUUUUAUUUUUAUCAAAAUAACAAUAAAUUUAAAAUAAUGGAAUAUAAAAGGAAAUGAAAUAUAAAAAAAUAAUUCUUUUAUUCAAUAUUUCAACAAAUUACAUGAAAAAAUAAUGAGAAAAAAAAAACAAAAGUGAGAAUUGCAUCACUAUAGUUUGAGUACAUCCCAACUAGGUUGGCACCCACCCAACUAUCAAUCAUAUGCAUUACUUAACCUUUAAAAAUUAACUACAUUUAAUAGAUUUAAAAGAAACGAACAACAUAUAAUUCUUCAAUUAUCAUAUUCACUUUUGUCUUCUUAUUCAAUCUUCAUUCUUAUUUUUUCAUCUUCAAUCAUCAUCAAUCUCUUGAACAUCAUUGUUUGCAUUGAGAUGCAAUUUCUUGAAGGCUUCUUUAAGUUCAUCCUCUAAAGUUUGACAUGAAAAAAGUAAAAAUAGUUAUUGAUUUACUUUUUUUACCCCUCAAACUAGUUGUAAUAUAAUUGUUAAGAGGGGUAUUAUAGACAUUUGACAUGUAAUAAAAAGUAAACACUAAAAGGUGAAAUUUAAAAGGGCCAAGUGGGUCGACACGGUGGGCCGACGGGUUGUUUCUUUAGGCCUAGCAUGGCCUGCUCCUUUGGGUCGUGUUGUCUUAGCUUGCUAUAGUGUUAGGCCAUACUGGCCUUGCCUGACCUUUUGGCGUGCCGAGCCACGGGCCAAAAUGGGCAGCCCGACCCAAUGACCCAGAUUUCAUUAUACAUUUGAAUGGUUUGAAUUGGAAGUUUGAUUUAGGACAAAAUCAAUAACCAUUAAAAAAAGAAAGAAUAUUGUAACACCGUUCAUACCUAUUGACUUUCGUUUUUAAUACUAUUGAAAAUUUUCACGAAUGAGAAGGCAACAAAGCAAGAAUUCUUAAGAUUCUAACUAUGCUACAGUCAUGAAAGAAGAAAAAGGGGGGAGAAGUAAUGUUUUUAUACUACAACCCACAAUCAUGAAAUAAGAAAAAAGAAAAUUCCAAAAAAUAUAGACCAAACAACAAGAACUUGCUUAGGCAUCUUCUAUACGUGAUCCUUUCUUGUCACUUGUUUUUUUUCCAUACUGGAAUGUAAAAUCCUACCAUGAGUGUUAAAAUAAGAUUGCCAUACUUAUUAACCAAUUAGUGAGUAAUUCCUACAAGUGAUAGUUUCUUAUAAUACACAUAUUUCUUGUUUACUUGAGCGCUAGUAGUAAUGAUCAUAAUUUUAAUAUAUUGAGAAUGUAAAAUUUUCUAGCAACAAAUAUAUUUAGCCCAUUGUAUUACAAAAAAGUACUAAAUGAAGAAAAAAAAUAGAGAUGGAAAGAAAUCUAAAUUCUCUUUAGUUCAAAGGUAUAAAAUAAAAUCAAAUAUAAUAAAAAAAUUCAAAAUUUUUCAAUCUUUAUGUAGAAUAGAAAAAAGAAGAAGAAAAAGGAUACUCUUGGUGAAACAUGUAAGAAAUGUUAAUUGAAUUUAAAUUUAUUUUUCAUUUUAUUAUUUUUUUAAAAACUUUUUAUUGUUUUAAAUUAAGAAAUAUACUAAAGACAUAGGUUUUAGUGAUUGCCAUAUGUUGGUAAUAAGCAGGGAAUGUCACUAAAAAAUACAAUAUAUUUUAAUUAAAUGUUACCAAGUAUUGUAUAAUGAAUGAGAGAUGAAUGUUCAAAGAACUCAACCCCUUUUUCUUUUUAGAAAAUCCAUUAGAAAAUUUUUCUUGAAGACUUGAAUAAGAUUUCCUUGGAAAGCAAACAACCUCCAAAAGAGGAAGGGAAUGAAGAGCUCACUCACCGAUUGUUGCUCUCUACAAGCUCUCUCCUCCUGAGAUAAGGAAGAAACCCCUAUUUGGAUAUGGAUAGUUCAAAGAUAAGGACUAAUUAGAAAACAAUUUUUUUAACACACGAGUCUUAGUUUAAAAAAUAAAUAACGGAUUUGAAAAAUCUCAUGAUAAGAAGGGUUUUCAAUCUUGUAUAUUUAUAUUGUCAUUCAAUGACUUAAAUUUCAUUAUACAUUUGAAUGGUCUGAAUUGAAAGUUUGAUGUAGGACAAAAUCAAUACCCAUUAAAAAAGGAAAGAAUAUCGUAACACCAUUCAUACCUAUUGACUCUCCUUUUUAAUACUAUUGAAAAUUUUCACAAAUGAGAAAGCAACAAAGCAAGGAUUCCUAAGAUUCUAACUAUGCUACAAUCAUGAAAGAAGAACAAAGAAAAUUCCAAAAAUAUAGACCAAACAACAAGAACUUGCUUGGGCAUCUUCAGUAAGUGAUCAUUUCUUGUCACUUGUUUUUUUCCAUAUUGGAAUGUAAAAUCCUACCAUGAGUGUUAAGAUAAGAUUGCCAUAAAAGAAAUUAUCAAAUAUGACAAUAUUUUUUCUAAUUUUCAAAGAAUUAUCAAAUAUGACACUAAAUUUUCAAAAUAACACUAAAUUUCUUUCUAUUUUGGAUUUAAAAGUGAGUAGUAAAACUAAAAUUAUCAAAUAUGACAAUAUUUUUUCUAUUUUUCAAAGAAUUUCGAAAGCAUUAUAUUUAAUUAAAAACACUUGGCUGAUAAAUAAAUAAACUGAAAACAUGGGAAUUCUGGAGAGCUACGAAACGGAGAUAAGAAUAUAAUUAAGGAAAAUGAAAGUGAAAGCCAAGGAAUGAGCAUCAUCACCUCCUAGAAGUAUCUAACCCACCUCGCUGAAGUUUGCUAUAAAUACCUAACAAUUUCCCUUGAGUUCAUCAAUGCUUGAGUUUGAAUCUUAUCAAUCACAGUAGUAGCAAUGGCAGACGAGAUUAUCUUGUUGGAUUUCUGGCCUAGCCCGUUUGGUAUGAGGGUCAGAGUUGCCCUGGCAGAGAAGGGUCUCAAGUAUGAAUAUAGAGAGGAGGACCCGAGGAACAAGAACCCUCUGCUUCUUGAGAUGAACCCCGUUCAUAAGAAAAUCCCAGUUCUGAUCCACAAUGGAAAGCCCAUUUGUGAGUCUAUGAUAAUAGUUCAGUAUAUUGAUGAGGUUUGGAACAAAAAAUCUCCGUUGUUGCCUAGUGACCCAUACCAGAGAGCUCAGGCCAGGUUCUGGGCGGACUACAUAGACAAGAAGGUAUGCCUUUUCUGUUGAUUUAAAGCAUUCUUUUCCAUUGAUUCAUGGCGAUUGACUCACAUUUUGAUUAUGGUGAGGGAUUUAUCCAAAAUGCUAGUUCUUCACAUAUUCUCUUCUGAUAUUGAGUUUUGUUGGCUUUGGUGUCCCAAACUAGAACUUUACUGAUUCUCUUGCUGUUUCUUCAACAAGACUCCCCUCUGCAUUUCUGAUAUGGGUUUUUAUUUCUUUGUUCUGUUGAAUCCGACGUCUGUUCGUUCCAUCCAAAAAAGCAGAUCUCAAGAAUACCUUUUCCCCCAAGAAAGGGAAUACAUAAACCAGAAUUUUAAAGAACAGAUUUUGGUUUUUCGUUAUCCUGCUGUUCAACAUUUUGCACAACAGUUGUUUUAAUAUAUGUUCUGUCUUUUUGAUCUCUUUCUUCUCAUUUCUUUAACACAAAUUGAGGGGAAAAACUUUAGCAAAUGAUACAUUCUUUCAACUGAUUCUGAUAUUUUUCCUAGGAUACGAGAUUUCUAUGCCGAAGGGUCGUUAAUAAACUUGCCCAACUAUACAGAAAGUUUGAAACUUGAUGAAAUGCUUCCAAAAGAAAAAAAAAAAACCCUUUUCUCUCUUUGACUCCAUUACUUUCCACAGCUCUAUGAACUUGGAAGGAGGAUAUGGUCAACCAAAGGAGAAGAGCAGGAAACAGCCAAGAAUGAAUUCAUAGAGUACCUUAAGAUUUUGGAAGGAGAGCUUGGAGAGAAGCCUUACUUCGGUGGUGAGAAAUUUGGGUUUGUGGAUGUGGCUCUGGUGACUUUCUCAACCUUGUUUUAUGCGUAUGAGAGCUUUGGUAACUUCAGCAUAGAGGUGGAGUGCCCCAAGUUGAUCGCUUGGACCAAGAGGUGCAUGGAAAAGGAGAGUGUGUCGUCUUCUCUGAAAGACCCACAGAAGGUCCAUGGCUUUGUCAUGGAGAU
rnacentral:lncRNA from 1 species